rnacentral:lncRNA from 1 species
AUCUCUUGCAAGGUUUAGAGAGUUUUAGAGAGAUAAAGAGGAGAAGAGAGUGUGCGAGAGUGACAGAAAGUGUUUUGGAGUGAGGAAGAAGAAGAGCUUCAGUGCUCUUUAAGCUAGACCUAGUAAAAUACCAAAAUGCCCUCAAAUUGGGCACUUUGCGAGCUCAGGGUGUAGAUCCUGCAUUCGAGGUCCGGACCCUGUACCAAGGUCACGCAUUAUGCAGGCAAGGUUCGAACCCUACCUCAGGAUCGGGAACCCGUAAGCAAUUCCUACGUUUUUUGCAGCCAAGGUCCGAACUUUGAUACUUUGGAUCGUAUCAAGGUCUGGAUCCUCAAGCUAAGGUCCGGACCCUGAGAGUCCAGUAGCUGAAAAUUAAAAUUUUCGAAAAUAUCCAUUUUCACUCCUUGAAGCUCUAGUCCACAUCUAAUUGUUCUGAAACCUUUGGAACUCAUUUCCAAAUGUGUCUAAAUCACUUUCCACCGUACUUUACCCAAUUUGGCUAAAGUUCAGUAUAGUAUACCGAAUUUCAGUACACUACAGAACUAGUAUUAUUAAAUAUGUACAAUAUAACAAGUAGUAUAAUUGUAGUGUUUCUGAGCUUUGGAUAGGAUUGACUUCAGUAUUAGUAACUGGUCGACACAUCUGGAGAGUGUCGGACUGAGUCGGAGUCGUUUCUGUACGAAUUGGAUGCAGAAAUGGACUCGGCGCACUCAAUUAAGCAAAACUGGAGUUUUGCCAGAUUCGGGCGCCCAGAACACGGUUUAGGUCGCCCAAAACUGAGUGUUGAAUUUAACUAAAACUGGAAGCCAAUUCGGAUCCUAUGUUCCGGGAGCCCAGAAGUGAGUCCGGAAAUUUUACAUCGUGAAUAUCGUUUGUGUUGACACGUGGCGGGUGGUAGGUGAGGUCCGCCGGAGCUGUUUACGGGCACAGCACACCGCGAGCGGAGAGUCCGAGGAGGAAGAUUUGUGAAGCCUGGAGGUUUCGGGCGCUCAGAAUUGGGUUUCGGGCGCCCAGAAAUGCCCGUUUCUGCAGGGACACCAGGUUAGCAGCUUUUGAACCUGGGGCUUAUUUUAUCCUUUCAGCACCCUAUAAAUAGGGGGAGCAUGACCUCAGUGAAGCCUUUUCAUCCAUUCUUCACAGUGAACCCUUAAAUUGCAUUUCCAACCCCCAAAUCUACUCAAAUUGCUUCAAGAUCCACAACUCCAAGCUUGAUAGGUGCUGAUUCUGCAGUUCUUCAGCGACGACCUCCAGUGUUUUGGCUCGUACACGAUGUAGGAAGGUCGGAUCGCGGUGAAACUUGGUUGGCUGGAUUCUAGACUUCCAGAGGAAUCCAUGAAGCCCUGAAUUGCAGAUUUUGGUUGAGGUUAGCUUGGUCGAACUGAGAUUUUUCUGGAAUACUAUUGACAUUGAGCUGAAAAUGAGAUUUUUGAGCUUUUCUUGAUGCUAUCUUUGUAGGCAGUGGGAUUUUGGACUUGAGACACAUUCUCCAUUAUUAUUCACUGGAUUUGAGACCUUCCUCACCUGAUUUGGAGGUAAUUGGGUGAGUUUUGACAUUACGAUAGGGAUUAAAUUAAGCUUUAGUGCUGAAAUUGUGAUAAUUGAUGGAAUUCAAUGUGUAGAGCUUGGAGAUAGCUUGAUUACUGGUCUUGGAGGAUUUCGGUUGAUCUAGCAGGGAUUAGCAUUGGUUCGGGACCUUCUUUACUGACAGGUUUAGUAAUUAAGGUGGGUGUAUCAUCGAUUUUUACUUCUAAGUACAUGUUAGUCGACGUGUAUGAUUUGCGGCUAUUGUUAUCUUGUUGUAGCUCAAAUUCAUCGAUGAGUAUGAUAUAAAAAUCUGAAUUUGGAGCAUGCUUAGUAAUUAGAUAAAUUAUACAUGUCGGACUUGGAACUUGACUUAGGAGAGAACCAGUGUUUUGACCCGUCAUAUGCUUCUACUACCUGAUUUAGCUCUAAGAGCCGUGGUUUGAUUGUAUCACCGCUGUUUCAGCGCGGUGGAUACCCGGGAUAGUUUAGAAUGCAUUUACGCUCGUGCUGGGACGCCGAGCUUAUUUUUACAGCAGAGUCUAGACUGUUUCCGGUUGUCGGGUGCCGUUGGGGUGGACGGUGGACCCAGAUCCCUGUUUUUUGAUAUCAGAUUGUGCCGAGAGCACGUGGGUUCGGUUUCUAGACCUGUUUUGACCAUAGUUAUUUAUCUUUGGCUGGUUAGAGCCUGAUUGAGCUUGACAGAGAUACGCUUGCAUACUCGAUUGUGUAGCGCCCACGAGUGCCACUCCGGAGUUCGGCUUAGUGCUUUUGCGUUGUUGCCGUUCGUGCAGGUUGGACUUGCUCUCCACAGACUUGUUAGUGUGGAGGUAGCUGGUUAGUUGCAACCUGGCGGGACGUGUGUGUUCAUAGUCCCAGGGACGGGUAUGAUUACAGUUCCUAUUCGAGAUUUGGUCUAAGUUUGCACUGUUCUACAGUUGGUUAGAUUAUAGCCUGAUAGUAUAGAGGCAGAUAGCCGUAGAUAUGUUCCAGCUUUCCUUACUAUUUCUUGCUUACCCCUGUAGACUUAUUGGGUGGACCGAUGAGUUCAGGGCGGUACCCAUUGAGGACUACUUCUUUUUGUAGUAGUUCUCGCGCCCAGUUUGUUUCCACUGUUUUGCAGAGCCAUCGUCUUCGGCUGCUGCUGUCGCUCAUAUUGAUCGUGGCAAGGGCGUCGCGAGUUAGAGCCCUUCCAAUCGAGUUGCUGAGCUAGUAGAGGGCCGCUGCAGGUAGUGUAGUGUUGGUUUAUAUAUACAGAUGUUGUACUCUCGCCAGUGCGAGUGCUUUUGUAUCUUGGAUCUUAUGUAUAUAUAGAACCACAGUUUAUAUAUGCAUGUUUUAUUCUUCUCUCCUAGCUGCUCUAUACUACUGUCUGUAGUAUUGUAUGAUUAUAGGUACUUUUACUUUCGCUUCGUAUACAGAGAAAAUACCAAUGUAUAAGGCGGGUCUGUUAGCGAGCCCGGGGAAACGAGUAAUCCGGGGCGUGACAGAUUAAGUUGGUAUCAGAGCUUAGCUGUAGGUCGUUGGGAUCUAGGAACCCUAAGUCUGGCAAACCUUAGGAAGGCAAGACGUGAGAGGGGUGAUUUAUCACGAAAGUCAAUAAUUCGUUAUUCUAACUCCUCCUAGAGUGGAGUGAGUGAUUGGAGGAGUUCCUGUUUUGGUCUGAGAAAUUAUGUUGGCUGCAGACGACAUCAUUUUGAGGAGAAACAAGAGCCGCCUUCUAGACUUUCGUUUGAUUGGGUCGAGAGUGUUUUUAUUGUAUCUGACCUCUGUUUUGUUCUUUACAGCUAUGUAUCGUCGCCGAGGUUGACCGUCGCUCAGAGAUCGUGCCGCACCGCCUGAGAUGCCCGAGCAGGUAGAGCCGAGUGCACCACCUGAGGCGAGUGCACCCCCUGCUGUGGAGCAUAGGGCCCGACCCGAGGUGGGUGUACCUCCUGAUUUGAGUCCGCAGAUAACCGCCCUGACUGAGGUGAUGAGGCAGCAGGGGGAGUUGCUACAGAGGAUGUGCGAGAGGUUAGCUCCGUCACUGAGUACAGUACCAAGAGCACCUGAGCAGGCCGUUUCACCUUCGACUACUCCAGUGACCGCACCAGCCGCAGCUAUGCUCCCACCAGUGGAGCUCCCUACAGUGCCAGUUGCGCCCGCUAGGGGAUCAGUACAGUUGAUUGAGGCCGAGUAGGAGCGAAUGACUGAGCGGUUGGCUCAUUUUCGCCAUUUUGAUCCACCAACCUUCGACGACGGUUGCAUUGAGGCCUGGGUUGUUGAGGGCUGGGUCAGUGCGAUGGAGAAGCUGUUCGAGGAUCUAUUCGUGCCUGAGAGGGAGCAGGUGUCUUUGGGAGUACACUGCUUAACUGGCGAUGCUCACGCCUGGUGGAGGAGAGUGAGGCGAGGCUAUGGAUUAGUGGCGUUGCAGCUGAAGUGGGACGAGUUCUGUGGAAUGCUGUUCGGGAUGUAUUUUCCCAACAGCAUGAAACAGAAGCUCGAGGAGGAUCUGAAGAGGAUUCAACAGGGCGAGCGUACAGUCCAGGAGUAAAUUUGGGAGUUCACUCGACUCCUGAACUGUGUACCGUUCGUGGCCAGGGAUGAGGCGCAUAGAGUCUAUCUAUUCGAGUAGGGAUUGAGACCCGAGAUCUUUCGAUUGGUGCAGGCGCAGAGGUUGAGGACCUUGGACGCGUCGAUGGAGCAUGCUCUUUGGGUAGAGAGAGGUGAUGCCUCCAUUUGGGAGAGGACUCAGGCCAUGUGGCAGAGUCAGGACAGAAAGCGUCCCUUUUUAGAUAAUGCUGGACAAUCGAGCAGCAGUCGUCCGUGGAGACCACCACGAUCACGCUCUCAGGGUCGUGGGUUUUCGGGGCGUCAGUGUUCCAGAGGAUCCUGUCAACAGGGACAGACCGAGAGGACACCGCAGUGUGUGAUUUGCGGGGGACCACAUUGGCCCCGACAGUGCGAGCAGAGAGAAGGCCGUUGCUACACUUGCGGUCAACCCGGGCAUAUGAGGUCAGCUUGUCCUCGUGCAGCAUCACCAGCACCAUCCAUUGCAUCAGCGCAGCCGGCAUCCCAGCAGUCCUUUGGAGCAGCACCGAGUUUCCGCCAGGAGGACAUAUCGUUUGUGCCGCGUCAGGCUGAGCGGCGACAACGGGCUCCGAGUGGCAGAGUUUACGCAGCUCAAGUGGAGGAUUCUUUAGCAGCCGACCGAGUGGUGGCAGGUAUCAUUUUGAUUUCAGGCAUUCGUACUCGUACUCUUUUUGAUACUCGUGACUCGCAUUCUUUUGUUAGCCGAGCAUUUGCAUUGUUGCAUGGUCUAGAGUUAGGGUCUUUGUCAGAGACACGAGAGGUGGAGAUCCCCGACCAUGUUUUACAGGUUGCAGAGUGUUGUUGGUCAUGUUAGGUGCAGUUAGAUUCUUAGAUCAUGCCCGCAGACCUGUUGGUGUUAGGGCAGCUGCAGGACUUUGAUGUAGUGCUAGGUAUGGAUUGGCUGGCGCGGUACUAUGCUACUAUCGACUGUGGAGAGAUAACUGUGACGUUCCGCGAGCCAGGCAAGGAGAAGUUCACUUUCAGAGGCUGCAGGAGUACUUUGUUUGCCACUUGGAUAUCUUCGGCGAGGGCUCGACAACUGAUGAGUAAAGGAUGCGUUGCUUUUCUGGCGACUGUGACAGAGGUGCCUACGGCGGCGCCGGGACUCGAGGAUAUCCCUAUAGUCCGCGAGUUUCCGGACGUGUUUUCCCCGGAGUUGACGACGAUGCCACCGGAGAGGGAGAUAGAGUUUGUGAUUGAUGUAGUUCCUGGAACUGCACCAAUCUCAAAGGCACCUUACAGGAUGGCACCGGCAGAGCUGAGAAAGCUAAAGGCGCAGCUUCAGGAUUUGAUGGAUAAGGGGUUUGUGAGACCCAGUGUGUCGCCUUGGGGAGCGCCGGUAUUGUUUGUAAAGAAGAAGGAUAGUUCGCUCAGGUUGUGUGUAGAUUAUCAGGAGCUAAAUAAGGUGACCAUCAAGAAUAAGUAUUCUUUGCCGCGCAUUGAUGAUCUGUUUAAUCAGCUGUAAGGAUCUUAUGUCUUCUCAAAGAUUGACCUCCAGUCAGGUUACCACCAGUUGAGGGUGAGGGCCGAGGAAGUUUCCAAGACGGCUUUUCGGACUCGGUACGGGCAUUAUGAGUUUACGGUGAUGCCGUUUGGAUUGACGAAUGCCUCUGCCGCAUUCAUGGAUUUGAUGAACAGAGUGUUCAAGCCGUUCAUGGAUAGGUUUGUGGUAGUCUUCAUUGAUGAUAUUCUGAUAUACUCCCGGAGCGAUGCCGAGCAUGAGAAGCACUUGAGGUCUGUGCUAUAGCUUCUGCGAGUGAAGAAGUUGUAUGCCAAGUUAAAGAAGUGCAAGUUCUGGUUGCGGGAGGUUACUUUCUUGGGCCACGUGAUAUCUGCGGUUGGAGUGGCAGUGGACCCGAAGAAGAUUGAUGCUAUUUGGGAUUGGCCGAGACCGACGACGGUGACAGAGGUGAGGAGUUUCCUUGGGCUUGCUGGUUAUUAUCGUCGGUUUGUGGAAGGCUUUGCGAAGCUUUCCACACCACUCACUCGACUGACUCGUAAAGGAAUUAAAUUCAUUUGGAGUGAGGACUGUCAGAGGAGCUUUGAUGAGUUGAGACAGAGGUUGACGUCACUUCCUAUCCUUGUCCUUCUUGUGAUGGGGGAAGGAUUUGUGAUCUACAGUGAUGCAUCGCACAGCGGGUUGGGCUGUGUAAUGAUGCAGCAUGGUAGGGUAAUUGCUUAUACUUUACGGCAGUUAAAGGAUUACGAGAACAAUUACCCUACCCAUGACUUAGAGCUUGCCGCGAUAGUCUUUGCUUUAAAGUUGUGGCAGCAUUACUUGUAUGGCGAGCACUGCGAGGUUUUCACCGAUCAUAAAAGUCUCAAGUAUCUGUUCACCCAGAGGGAGUUGAACCUGAGGCAGCGCCGGUGGUUGGAGUUAUUGAAGGACUAUGACAUUAAUAUUCAGUAUCAAAUGUGGUGGCAGAUGCGUUGAGCAGGAGGGCAGUGCAGAGCUUGAACAUGUCGGUCACUCAGCAGGGGCCGUUACUCAAGGAGCUGCAGCGGCUUAGGCUCAAGAUAGUGUCCCCUGGAUCUACUGCGAGACUGAUGUCUGUGGUUUUGCAGCCCACUCUGUUGGAUAGGAUCCGACAGAAACAGAGUGGAGAUCCACACUUGUCGAGGAUUCGAGAGCGGUCUGAGAGGGGACAUACUGAGGGCUUUGUUGUGGACAGUUCGGGAGUACUGCGGUACAGGGACCGACUGUGUGUACCUAUAGAUUCAGAGAUCCGAGAGGACAUUUUGAGAGAGGCUCACUGUUCACCUUAUACGGUUCACCCUGGUGGAACCAAGAUGUAUAAGGACUUAAAGGCCCAGUUUUGGUGGAAUGGAAUGAAGAGGGACAUUGACAGAUUUGUGGCUCAGUGUCUGACUUGUCAACAGGUAAAGGCUGAGCAUCAGGUACCUGCUGGCAAUUUUCAGAGUCUGUCAGUGCCCGAGUGGAAAUGGGAGCAGAUCACGAUGGACUUUGUCGUGGGGUUGCCUAGAGCUCAGGGUGGUUUCGAUGCUAUUUGGGUGAUAGUGGACAGACUGACUAAGUCUGCUCACUUCCUACCAGUUCAGACCACAUGGUCCAGGGAGAUGCUCGCUCAACUAUAUCUAGAUGAGAUAGUGAGGUUGCAUGGUGUGCCCACUUCGAUAGUAUCAGAUCGAAACCUGAGGUUCGUCUCGUACUUUUGGAGGAGUCUUCAUAUGGCCUUGGGCACUCAAUUGCAAUUCAGCACAGCGUUUCACCCACAGACAGAUGGUCAGUCAGAGCGGACCAUUCAGACUCUUGAGGACAUGCUGAGGGCAUGUGUCCUGUACUUUGGAGGAGGGUGGUAUCGACAUUUGAGAGUUGCUGAGAUUGCGUACAACAACAGCUAUCAAGCGAGCAUCCAGAUGGCUCCGUUUGAGGCGUUGUAUGGACGCAGAUGUCGAUCCCCUUUGUUUUGGAGCGAUGUGGGUGAGAGAAAAACGCUUGGGCCUGAGAUUCUAAUUGAGGCUGAGGAAAAGGUGAAAGUGGUGCGACGGCACAUUUUAGCAGGCCAGAGUCGGCGGAGGAGCUGUGCUGAUACCCGGAGAUGAGACUUGGAGUUUCAGGUGGGAGAUCAUGUGUUUCUUAAAGUCUCUCGUCUAGAGGAAUUUGCAGAUUUGGAGUACGUGGAAAGCUCAGUCCACGUUUUAUAGGCCCUUUUGAGGUAUUGGAGCGAGUCGGGCCAGUUCCUUAUAGGAUUGCUCUAUCUCCACGACUAGCCGGCAUCCACGAUGUUUUCCACGUCUCGGCCUUGAGGAGAUAUGUGUUCGACCCCUUCCACGUGAUAGACUUCACUCCGCUAGAGAUUUGCAAGGACUUGAGAUACGAGGAGCGACCGGUGUGGAUUUUGGCUCGUGAGUCAAGGGAAUUGCGCAACCGGGUCAUACCCUUUGUAAAGGUGCAGUGGAGUAAUCACGAGGAGCGGGAGGCGACUUGGGAUCCAGAGACGGUGAUGAGAGAGUCCUACCCCUACUUUUUUGAGGCUCAGGAUUGAGGUAUGUUUCAGUUUCGCGGACGAAAUAUUUUGUAAUAGGGGAGGAUGUAGUGUUUCUGAGCUUUGGAUAGGAUUGGCUUCAGUAUUAGUGAUUGGUCGACACAUCUGGAGAGUGUCGGACUGAGUCGGAGUCGUUUCUGUACGAAUUGGAUGCAGAAAUGAACUCAGCGCAUUCAAUUAAGCAAAACUAGAGUUUUGCCAGAUUCGGGCGCCCAGAAUAUGGUUUAGGUCGCCCAGAACUGAGUGCUGAAUUUAACUGAAACUGGAAGCCAAUUCGGAUCCUAUGUUCCGGGCGCCCAGAAGUGAGUCCGGAAAUUUUACAUCGUGAAUAUCGUUUGUAUUGACACGUGGCGGGUGGUAGGUGAGGUCCGUCGGAGCCGUUUAUGGGCGCAGCACACCGCGAGCGGAGAGUCCGAGGAGAAAGAUUUGUGCAGCUUGGAGGUUUCGGGCGCCCAGAAUUAGGUUUCGGGCGCCCAGAAAUGCCCGUUUCUGCAGGGACACUAUGUUAGCAGCUUUUGAACCUGGGGCUUAUUUUAUCCUUCCAGCAUCCUAUAAAUAGGGGGAGCUUGACCUCAGUGAAGCUUUUUCGUCCAUUUUUCAUAGUGAACCCUUAAAUUGCAUUUUCAACCCCCAAAUCUACUCAAAUUGCUUCAAGAUCCACAACUCCAAGCUUGAAAGGUGCUGAUUCUGUAGUUCUUCAGCGAUGACCUCCAGUAUUUUGGCUCGUACGCGACGUAGGAAGGUCGGAUCGUGGUGAAACUUAGUUUGCUGGAUUCUAGACUUCCAGAGAAAUCCAUGAAGCCCUGAAUUGCAGAUUUUGGUUGAGGUUAGCUUGGUCGAACUGAGGUUUUUCUGGACUACUAUUGACAUUGAGCUGAAAAUGAGAUUUUUGAGCUUUUCUUGAUGCUAUCUUUGUAGGCAGUGGGAUUUUGGACCUGAGACACAUUCUCCAUUAUUAUUCACUGGAUUUGAGACCUUCCUUACCUGAUUUGGAGGUAAUUAGGUGAGUUUUGACAUUACGAUAGGGAUUAAAUUAAGCUUUAGUGCUGAAUUAUGAUAAUUGAUGGAAUUCAAUGUGUAGAGCUUGGAGAUAGCUUGAUUACUGGUCUUGGAGGAUUUCGGUUGAUCCAGCAGGGAUUAGCAUUGGUUUGGGGCCUUCUUUGCUGCCAGGUUUAGCAAUUAAGGUGGGUGUAUCAUCGAUUUUUACUUCUAAGUACAUGUUAGUCGACGUGUAUGAUUUGCGGCUAUUGUUAUCUUGUUGUAGCUCAAAUUCAUCGAUGAGUAUGAUAUAAAAAUCUGAAUUUGGAGCAUGCUUAAUAAUUAGAUAAAUUAUACAUGUCGGAUUUGGAACUUGACUUAAGAGAAAACCAGCGUUUUGACCCGUCAUAUACUUCUACUACCUGAUUUAGCUCUAGGAGCCGUGGUUUGAUUGUAUCACCGCUGUUUCAGCGCGGUGGAUAUCCGAGGUAGUUUAGAAUGCAUUUACGCUCGUGCUGGGACGCCGAGCUUAUUUUUACAGUAGAGUCUAGGCUGUUUCGGGUUGUCAGGUGACGUUGGGGUGGAUGGUGGACCCAGAUUCCUAUUUUUGGUAUCAGAUUGUGCCGAGAGCACGUGGGUUCGGUUUCUAGACCUGUUUUGACCCUAGUUAUUUAUCUUUGGCUGGUUAGAGCCUGAUUGAGCUCGACAGAGAUACGCUUGCAUACUCGGUUGGGUAGCGUCCACGAGUGCUACUCCGGAGUUGGGCUUAGUGCUUUUGCGUUGGUGCCGUUUGUGCAGGUUGGACUUGCUAUCCACGGGCUUGUUAGCGUGGAGGUAGCUGGUUAGUUGCAACCUGGCGGGACGGGUGUGUUUACAGUCCUAGGGACGGGUAUGAUUAUAGUUCCUAUUCGAGAUUUGGUCUGAGUUGACACUGUUCUACAGUUGGUUAGAUUAGAGCCUGAUAGUAUAGAGGCAGAUAGCCGUAGAUAUGUUCCAGCUUUCCUUACUAUUUCUUGCUUACCCCUAUAGACUUAGUGGGUGGACCGAUGAGUUGAGGGCGGUACUCACUGAGGACUACUUCUUUUUGUAGUAGUUCUCGCGGCCAGUUUGUUUCCACUGUUUUGUAGAGCCAUCGUUUUCGGCUGCUGCUGUCGCUGAUAUUGAUCGUGGCAAGGGCGUCGCGAGUUAGAGCCCUUCCAGUCGAGUUGCUGAGCUAGUGGAGGACCGCUGCAGGUAGUGUAGUGUUGGUUUAUACAUAUAGAUAUUGUACUCUCGCCAGUGCGAGUGCUUUUGUAUCUUGGAUCUUAUGUAUGUAUAGAACCACAGUUUAUAUAUGCAUGUUUUAUUCUUCUCUCCUAGCUGCUUUAUACUACUGUCUGUAGUAUUGUAUGAUUAUAGAUACUUUUACUUUCGCUUCGUAUACAGAGGAAAUACCUAUAUAUACGGCGGGUCUGUUAGCGAGCCCAGGGAAAUGAGUAAUCCAGGGCGUGACUGUAGUCUCCUUGCUUUGGGCAACUCACGCAGUCCACCAGUAAGCGUGCUCAUUCGUGGACCACGCGAGGAUUCCAUGAGUGCACUUGUACACCACGUUUUUAUUUAUUUAUUUAUUUAUUUUUAUUUCCAAGUAUGAGUUUUCAUUUUCUACUAGGGGACGUUAGGAACGGUGUAAAAAACAUCGAAAACUAUUUUUUAGCUAAAAAACGAUUUUCAACCUGUUUGGUUUCACGUAAAAUUUUUUCAUAUAAAAUAUUUUUUUGCAGAUAACAAGAAAAGAGAACUUUUCAUUUUUUGCCUGAAAUGAGCGGAAAACAAAAUGUGUGGGCGGAAAAUGAAAAGUGGCACUGCAAAAAAAAAAAAAAAAAGGUCCUUGAGUCAUGCACCUAGCGUGUGAUCCGCGAGUUGUCAGAAAAAAUCGUAGACCGCGUGACAGGUCCAACCGUGGACUUCUCUUAAUCUAUCUGUACACACACACCCUAGCAAAGUGUACGUGCAAUACACGUCGCAUAUUUGAAAAAAAUAGCAAAAGCAUUUACUAACAUGUACAAUACAAUACAUGAUAUGGGCAUAGAAGAGCAUAGAGUAAUUAACUUCUGCCUUAAAACUUACAACCAUAGCUAUCCAAAAUAUUACAUAGUUCAUGUUUAUACAAAAAGGUACCCUCUAAACCAACUCAUGAAUUAUCUAACUAACUCACGACAUGUCACGCCUGGGCCCCAGCGGAAGCCUGCCCAGUGCGUGCUCAGACCCGCCAUAUGCCAAGAACAUAUAAGGCGUCUACAAUAAUCAUAACGAGAAAACACAAGAUAAAAGUAAUGUCUAGUAUGAUAUCAGAGCAUGGAAUAUAAACUACUCCCUAAAGACAAGUAUAGGAAAGUAAAAUAGCUAAACAAUAAUAAACCACAAAAUAAUACAUAAACCUGGAAUUCACAUAAGAUAAAACUAAAUACAAAAUGGUGGUCUCUAUACAUCGGGUACAAAACAUCUCUCUCCAACUACAACAAAAUGAGAGAUAACCACCUAGCAGAAACUCCCGGCUAAGUCUUGCUAGUCGCGACUCCCUUGCCGCGGUUCCUAGCUUCUCUCGGUGUGGAUGGCUCUGUAAACAAAAACAUCAACAAAAUGAAAAUGAGAACUAUUAGUCAAUAGUUCCCAGUGGGUAAGCUGCCGACAUCAGCGAAUUACACCACUAGGUCAUCGAGGCAUAAGUAGUAAAUAAGCAUUACUAGAUAAGCAACAUAAAUAUUGAGCAAGUAAUACUUUACUAAGCUACUAUGCCUCCAUUUAGCAUGAUGUUUAGCAUGUAACAAAGCUAUUCUAAUAUGAAUAAACAUGUCCAACUAGUAUGCACUAUUUAGUAGUGAUGGUGGCAUUAUACUUUUAAAUUAAUGUCAUUGUUCAAUUCAAUUAGGACCAAGGUUUUAAGUGCCUGUCAGUACGGGCCGUAUCCACCAUGCCAUACCGUGCCAACAAGAUACCGGCACGAUACAGACUCCAUGCCGAUGGCACAGCUCAAAACCCUCUAUUCUUUAAAUUAGUAAGUAAUUUUCUCAAUAAAGUUCAAAAGCUGUGAUAAAAAGACAUAAUAAAUAGUUAGAAUAUUUUGUUGCUAAAGAAAAUAAAUAUUUCAUGCUAUUGUGUGUCGGCACACAAGAAUUUUUUUGAUCAGCACGCAUCGGCACGGCUCGACACGCACCGUGCCAUACCGUACCGGCAAGUUUUCGGCACAACCCCGGGCUAUGGCACUUAAAUCCUUGAUUAGGACCUAUACAAGUGUAGUCCGGCUUGCGCCGUGCCUAGUAAUGAGCCUCCCCGACGGGUAGUCAACAUUCCCCCUCUAGGAAUGAGCCUCCCCCACGGCAUCCCACUUUGGCGCCCAAUCUUGCACGAGUGAGUAUGUGUCGCGUAGGCCAACUCCGGAGUGCCGGCUUGUAGGGAGCGACCCUCACAAGCAUGCGCGAAUAAGCAUAAUGGCAAACAAGCAUGAUCAUUCAUAUUAAGUACUCGGUCAUCAUGUCUAAAAUAUGGUACAAGUACUAGCGACCCAACGGUCGGUCUCUAUGUCACAUUGUAGAGGUUUAGUCGUUUACUAAGUCAAGUGUCAUUCCAUGACGUUCAUGUUAACUAUGUCAAGUAUAAAUCAUUUGUCCAUGAGCAUGUAAAACUUGUCAUUUCACUAAUUAUAAUAUGAUUUCUAACAUGGCAUGAAUGAUAUUUUUUCACAUACAAGUUCCAUAUACAACUCUCACUCUACUGUAUAGAAGUUAUAAUCUUGACAUGUAACAUGUAUAUCUUAAGCAUUCAGAAAUUCAUAUAGGCUACAACUAGUAUGAAUAUGCAUGAUUUUUCAUUUUACAAUAUAGAGAAUGACAUAGGAGGAGUUCACCCAUUUCGGUGAGGUCAAACCCACCGGAUACCCCUCGAAACUCUUUCGUUUGCGCGAACGGAGUUGUCCACUAGCCUCCUAACACCCUAACAAAAAUUCUAAGAGGGUUAGGAGAUUCGAACGAACACCCCACGAAAUCCUUCAAAAAUCAUACCAAAAAUAGGUAAAAAAUACCUUAGAUGAGAAAAAACUCUUUCAAACUCCCAAAGGAGGUUAGGAUGCUUCAAUUCCAAUCUAAAAGGAAGUAUUGGAACCAACAAUUAAGCCUUAAAGACUUUACCAAGAGAAAACCCAAAAUGAAACCCUAGUCUUCCAAAACUAGUUUAAACUCCAAAAAUCUUUCCAAAAUCACAUCUCAAGGGAGCAAUAAUGCUACUAACCUCUUAGAGAGCUCCAAACUAAGCUAGGAUGAUGCUAGGGUUGGAGAUAUUUCCUUAACCAAGCUCUAUUCCUCAAGUCCCAAGCUUCUCCAAGGUCCAAGCACACUCCUCCAAAGAAGAGGAGAGGAAAAGAGAGAUCAAACCUCAAGAAACUUCAAAUCAAAGAGGAAAAAUCUAGAGAGAGAAAGAGAGGAGGCUUACCACACUCCUUCUCUGGUUCCAAGCACAAGGAACCCCUUAUAGGGGUGUUGGGGUAUAUAUAGAAAUGUACAAUCCCCAAAAAAUCCCUCAAAAACAACCAAAUUGCAGACUAUACUGCGCACCGAUACUCGAAGGGGAGUAUCGGUACCUAGCAACCAACCCGCAAAACCCGAGCCUCUGUCAAGCGGGUUAUUUAUGGUGUACUGGUACCAGCUUGAUACAGUACCGGUACUCGCCGACUCUGUACCGGUAUUCAGCACCCCUCAGCUCAAAUCCGAGAGCAGCCCUCUCGGUCACGUGUCGGGAUACCGGUACCCCACUGUCGUACCGGUACUCAACAUCCCAAAACCUAUAGUUUGCAGAUUUUGGUGCUAAGUACUCACACUCGCUUCACAAAACGCGAGUAAUUAGUCGGUACACAGUCCACGACCCUCAAACGUGAAUAGUACCAAAUGCUAUUCUGACACUGGAACCUUACAAUUUGCCUAUGUUGAGUGUGCUACAGGACACCUUUGCAGCAAUCCUGCGCCCCAUCACGACACCUUUGCAGCGAUCCCGCGCCCCAUCGACUAUAGAUGGCUUUGAAAAAGAUGUCAACAAUAAUGGAGUAAGAACUUAAAAUAAGUUCCCAGUGGGUACAAUCACAAAAAAGUGACGCUCUACACUCACUCGGUCUAAAAAAAGUAUUAGUAUAAAUGAAUCUACUACUAUUAUAAUUGAUAUACAAGAAAAGAAAAUACAAAUACUAUGCUUCAAAUAAAUACAAGAUGCCACAAUAUAUUAUAUCAUUGACUUAUGUGUUUCUCCCUUAUUAUUUCUUAUCUCUAACCAAAUAGUUUGGUUCUUCUUACUAGACAUCUCAUGGAGAGUCGAAGGCAACUGCCAUCCCUCUAAUUGGUAGAUACUUGGUGUCAAAGAAAAUCGGCAUACUUACGUACGGUAGGAAGUCGAAGGGAAUCAACAUUGUGACACCUUAACUUCCUAGGGGGUCACCCAUCCUAGGACUACUCUUGUCCUAGCAUGCUUAACUUUCUUAACCUCUUGGGCCUAGCCACCGCCCAAAAUAUUUAAGUCGAGUUAAGAUUUUUAGCCUUAUUAUACCUUAUAUAUAGAACUACUUGAGGUCUCACAUUCUCCCGCCCUUAAGUCCUGACGUCCUCGUCAGGCUCAGAACCUCUUGGGCCUAGCCACCACCCAAAAUGCUUAAGCCAGGUUAAGAGUUUUAACCCUAUUAUAUCUUAUAUAUAGGACUACCUAGGGUUUCAUAGACAUUUUUCGAUAUGGAGUAGGAAAUUGAGGGAAAUUGGCAUCUCCCAAUAUGGAGUACGAAGUCAAUGGGAUGUCAUGCCCCAGGCCACAGCGAAGCCCCUAACUGCACUAACAGAUUAUGCACGAGGAUGCACUCUGCACAUAUGAAGUGACUACAACCAACCUGUCUCAAAGACAACUAACAGGAGUGCAUAUAGUAUAAAUAUUCAUCAGAGUCUGUGAACAUCUAUACUAUAUAACAAUCAUUGUAUUAAAAUUCAUACGAAUGUACAAGCCGUAUAUUCCGUUCCAAGCAGUAUAGCAAAAUAACUCCUAGAAACCUCAUAGCACUGUUCUACUAAUCUCUAAGAUUGAAUAUUUGCAAUGAAUACAUGUCACGCACCAUGCCCCGCAACCGCCAAUUUGGUCGGUUCGGGCUCGUGGACAGACCACCGAACGGACAAGGUUUCCCCUAUCCGCCCAAGGCUUUACAAUGUCAUGUAUAUCUAGUUGCCUAGGUAAAACAUAAUUAACAUACAUGAUUAGUGCAAGAAUAAAUCACAAGAGCAAGAGAUAAAUUUAGCUAAACUAUUACAUUCAUUCACUUGUUUAAUCAUCCUUUUACAAUUCACCAAAAGUAUAACUUUAGUUUAUACAUCAUGUCCUCACUACAUGUUCUCUCCAAAAUACAACAUAGCCCUCACACAGUAUGUACACAGUAAACUAAUGCAAGGGAAGUCCGUUACCUAGGGCGCUAUGCCCUUACCACGAUCUUCGACUGCGUCGCUCCUGCUAAGCCCUGCAACAACAUGGGAUGAGAACUAACAAAAAUUCCCAGUGGGUUCGGCCGUCGACUCUGCCGAAUUUUUCACUAGGUCUAAGUAGGCAUAAGUAGAGAGAUAUACAUAGGGAUAAGAAAUGCUACAUGCUACUAUGCCUCAGCAACAUGAUAUGAAUGAAGUAACCACUAUGCUCAUGAUGCAUGCCAUUCAUAUGCUUGUAACCCAAUCACACUGGCUAAUCCUAAGGUUAAGCCCAACUCACACUCAAAUUCUAUAGGUGAGGAGACUCUACGCUACACUCACCCGGGACCGUCUGCUGGGUAGGUACGUUAACCCAAUCUGUGACGACUCCGGAGCCCACUGCUUGGGUGGAUCGACCACCACCAAGCUAAAAACAGACUAAUUGAGUAUGAUCCAAUUCUUUAAGCUCGAGGAUACCGUACCAACUAGGGAUAACAACCACUAGGGGAUCUACAAAUCCCAAUAUCCAUGUCAUAAGUGUCAUCUAUACACUAGUUCCAAAUGCCACCCUUUAUGUCACUACAUUGUUUAAGUUCACAAUUGUUCUCGGCACUAUAAGAUUCCAUAUCAAGACCCAAAUCCUCAUGCGUCUGCUACUCAUGUAUCAAACUCAUGAUUUCUAUUUCUACCAAGCAAGCAUGUAAGGAAAUGAAAUACAUUUAACCACAUAUCCUAUAAUGCAUGACGUCAACAUGUGUAUACAUAUGCUUAAUAAUAGCAACAUAGACAUAAAAGGAAAUCCGAUUGUUUCAGAUAGCAUCCCCACCUUGGCUUGAUGCUAAGAGGCGAGAAACCAAGUCUCGCGAUUUUACGACACCGUCUUAGCUCGACCCAAGGGAAACGAAUGGAAAAUGGUGUUUUUCUUCAAUGGUUUGUCGUAAGCUCGUAGGAACUCUGCUUCGAGUUGCCCACCACAUCGAUUUUACCUUUAAUUAGGUUUACAAAGGGUCAAUUUAACUAUAAACCCUAAUUCCACAAAAAUCCUAAUUCCAACCCUAGCUAUGAAUACCAUGUGUUCAUCAUGAGAUUCCUAGGGUUAUCUAGGUUUCCAUUCUUGCAAGAGACUCAAAACCAAGUGUUCUAGGGCAUAAUGUUAAGGAUUUUAUAGGUUGGCAAAUUUCGUAAAGUUGUUUGGAGUCUUGAAGAGUUGAUCGCAGAAGUUACUCAAAUUGGAGAACGAAGACUCAUUCGGAAAGCUCGACACCUAAGGUAUGAAGAAAAGAUCAUUUGUGGUGAAGAUACAUAAUUUGAUUAAGUUCAGAAGGCUUAGAUUGCUUUAAAAUAAUUUUUCUGAACUUUCAUGUGUUCUGGGACUGAUCCCUGAAGUGGAGAGACCGGUUCCCCUAAGGUCCUCACUGCGUGAGUUCUGAUGCAACCGGUCCCCUGAGAUGAGAGACCGGUUCCCGAACGCUGAGUUUUUGAACACGCAGAGAGGGACCGGUUCCUCACUUGAGAGACCGGUCUCUCACAGACCGGUCUCCUUGAGAAGACCGGUCUCUGAGGACGACACAGGUUUUUAAAAACGGCUUUUUGCAAUCCUAGUCUACUUCUAAGUCUUCUAAACAUAUAAAUAAGCUAUGUGGGUCAUCUAAAAAUUAAGGCUUUGAAUAUUUACCAAUUCUAAACCCUAGAAAUUUAUUUCUCUCCGUUUCAAUGCUUAGAUUUACAUGAUGAGUUUCUAGCAAUCAACAUCGGCUUGAUUCUUCGUUGUUACUCAAUAAUUCUUACGAGAAUCAAGUAGAUGUUUGAUAAAAGGUGAACUCCCAUAGCUUAUGGUUUUCAAAAGUUAAAUCACCACAAAUCUUCGAUUCUACAAGCUCCGGAAGGAGGUUCGGCNNNNNNNNNNNNNNNNNNNNNNNNNNNNNNNNNNNNNNNNNNNNNNNNNNNNNNNNNNNNNNNNNNNNNNNNNNNNNNNNNNNNNNNNNNNNNNNNNNNNUUUCAGUUUCGACCCCGUUUGGUCACCGAAAACUGUGCCGAACUGCAAUCUUUAUCAGAUGGCUUUCGGAUUUUAGUUCUCACUCUGCGGGUGUCAAAAAAAUAUGAAACUUUAAAUCUAGCCUCAUUAAAAUAUUUCUAGCAUCCCCGCCAGUUUUCAUAAUUUUCUGAGACUGUGCAUUUUCUGCUAAUUUAUCUGCCCCGUUUCUCACAGAAAAUCUAAAUCUUCUGUUUUCGCUCUGAAUUCAAGACGGGUCAUUCCAGACUUAUAUUUCACUUCUCUAAAUCUAAUAAAAAUAGUAUCUCAUACUAUUUUUAUUUAUUUCCCUUUUUAUAUUAAAAUCCGCAUAUUACAUCCCACCGUAACUUCAUAAUUUUAGAAGUUCGGUAUCCUACAUCGCCGAUCCUCGAUCGAUAGGAAUCCUCCAAUCGACCUCGCCGCAACUCCUCGCAGCGUCAACGCCUCAACUCCUCGAAGCGUCCACCGAAUCCUUGGCUACACGCGAGAUCCACGCGCCAAAUCUCCUUCCGGAGCUUGUAGAAUCGAAGAUGUGUGGUGAUUAAGCUUUAGAAUCCCAUAAGCUAUGAGGGUCCGUCUUCUAAUCAAACAUCAACUUAAUUCUCGAAUAAGAUCUCGAGUAAAAUCAAAGAACCAAGUCGAUUGUUGAUUUUUCGAAACUUGUUAUGUGAGUAGAAGCAUUAGAAUGGAAAAACAAGUUUCUAGGGUAUAGAAUCAGUAAAAAUUCAAAGCAUUCAUCUUUAAGAUGACCCCCAUAGAUAAAUGUUUAGAAGACUUAGAAGUAGACUAGGAUUGCAAAAAGUCCUUUUUAAAAACAUGUGUCGUCCUCAGAGACCGGUCCUCUCGAGGAGACCGGUCUGUGAAAGACCAGUCUCUCAAGUGAGAGACCGGUCCCUCGCUGCGUGACAAGAAUCACAACGUUCGGGAACCGGUCUCUCAAGCCAGAGACCAGUCCCUCGCUGCGCGACAAAAAUUCCAAUGUUCGGGAAUCGGUCUCUUAUCUCAGGGGACCGGUUGCCUCAACAUUCACGCAGUGAGGACCUUAAGGGAACCGGUCUCUUCAACUAAGGGACCAGUUCCAGAACACAUAAAAGUUCAGUAAAAGAGUUUUAAAGCAAUUUAAGCCUUCUGAACUUAUUACAAUUAAACAUCUUCACCAUAAAUCAUCUAUUCUUCAUACCUGAAGUGCCGAGCUUUCCGAAUGAGUUUUUGUUCUUCAAUUUGAAUCUUUUCUUCAAACUUCCGCGAUCAACUCUUCAAAACUCCAUUCAACUCUACGAAAUCCGCCAACCUAUAAAAUCCUUAACAAUCUCCCCCUUUGGCGAUUUGGUGACAAAAUAUACUACAAAGCUCGUACACAACUCGAAAACAAUAAAAAGAAGAUCAUCGCAAUCAACAAACGAUGAUCUCCUGCAUGAUCGAUCCAAUAAACAAAAAUUACAUUUUUCACAAUCUUAAUACAGACUCUAUGACUUAGACAUGGAGUCUUGAAGUCUUGAAUAAUUCCUGCAAAAAUAUUCUAAAAACACAAUCAAGAUUCAAGCAUACUUAUCAUAAAAGAUCAAACAUAAACGUCAAAGCAAUCAAAGCAACAAGUCAUAGUUCAUAGUUCAUCCAAGCAACUAUCUAAUCUAAAUUUACACAACUAAGCUAAAAGCAUCAAAAGACAUCAUCAUCAUCAUCAUCAUCAGACAUCAUCAUCAUCACAAAAGACAUCAUCAUCAUCAUGAGCCAACAUAUCAUCUCCUCCUUUUUGUCAGAAAGCGCCAAAAUGACAAAAGGAGGAACCCCGCACAGUCAGUCGGAGUCGUCACCCUGCGGCGGAAGAUCUGAGCUGCAACAUCCCAGUUUAUCAAAGAUGGCCUUCAUCAACCGCUUGAUUUUGCUCACAUCUUUCUGUAUCUGAGCUUGAUCCGCAGAAAGUUUUUGAAGCUCCUCAGAUAACCUUUGUUGCUCACGAUAUACUGACGAAACCGAGACAUCCUCCUCAGAAAUAUCCAUGGAAGGACGGGAAGAAGUAGGAGCAGCAGGAGGUGGAGCAGCAAAAGGUGAAGAAGCGCGCUGGGACGGAGUUCGAAGCUGCACGGAGGACUUCACGAACGUCUUUUCAUUGAUCCGCCCCAAGCUAUGCUCAUACGAUGUGCAACGAAUAUCCACCUCAUGGAGUCGCAGAAUCCUCAUGAUAAUUAGUGGAAAUGGCAAUCUUUCAUUCUGUCCUGAAGUCUUGAUACCUUCGCCAUUCUCCGCCAGAUCAAAAACGGGAUAUUCAUGUUGAUAUUCUUUGCACUUACAAUGUCUGGCCUAGCCAAGAGAUACAUGUACAGGAUGCGAUCCCAUCUCAAAAUCUUCGUGUUUGCGAGAGGCAAAAUGUUGUAGCAAACCACGAAGUUCAAAAACCUGUACUCCAUUUUGAAGUCCUUGGACAAAACCGUAAUACCGUUUGACUCUGUUCCCGGCAUGCAAAUAGAGUUCACGACACGGUUCCAAUCACGAAGUGAGUCAAACCCGGCCUGCAGAUACUCCACUCCCUCAGUUCUUACUUCCAUUCCUAGCACAGACGCUAUCGUAUCGGGAGUGAUUGAUAACUCAACACCACGUACGGAAGUGGUGAAUACGUACGGGCCACCGUCGGAGUCACUCAAGUGACAUGCUCUCAUAUAGAAUUCUCUAAUCAACUCUAAACAAAACCCAGUUUGUUCCGGAAAAUCACAAAUCUGAUGAAGAUUUUCUUUUUCAAAUAAAUCCUGAAUUUCCGGCACACAGUCAAUGAUACUGGCAACGCCAACAUCGCGCUCACCAAUACAAUAUUUCGACGAGUGCAUUGACCUUCGAGCAGACGGAACAUCCUGCAGACUGAGACGCUGAGGCUCAGAAUCUGGUUCUCUAAUCUAAACACCUCCAGAUUUCCGACGACCGGUAUAACCAGAUGCCUUUCCUUUUCCUUUAUCCAUGGCUUUGCCUUUCCCUUUAUCAAUGGCUUUUCCUUUGCUCUUUUCUUUUCUUGUAUCCUUAUCCUUAGCCAACACCUCUGGAGUAAAAGCCUCCCAGUCCGGCUCGUCCUUCUCAGAUUCGUCGCCAGGAGCAUACUCAUUCCCUUCAUCUUGCGGUUGUUGCUUAACCGGCCGUUUACCUGAAGAGCGCUGUCGUUUGCUUCCGCGACCACCCCCGGCCAUCAGGACCACAAGCACAAGUAAUCAUGAAUACAUUUUGAAGAAAUCCCCUGUUAAACAUAAUGUUUUUUAUAUAUGAAACAUAAGAACACUUAAUUUUGAUCCCAAAAAAAAUUUCAACAAAUUGAUAUAUAAAUGCUAGAUAAUCCUAGGGGCCACAAAACAUGAGAAGCAUGAACAACGUAUGCAACAAAAAUUAGUAAAACCACAUGAUUCCCAAAAAAUUUUGAAAAAGCUAGGUUUUGAAGAUGAAAACCUACAAAAAUGACCAAAAGGAUGAAGAAAUACAAGACAAUACGAAGAUAACAAAUCUAAUAACAAGAUCGAAACACUAAAUGCAAAAAAUCUGAAACAAAACUCAUUUUCGGAGUAUAUGAUAAAAAUGCAACAAAAUCCGAAAAUCAUACCUAAAAUCAGUGCAAAUCCACAAGGAACGUGAGUAAACCUACUCUGGAGACAAGGGAGGAGCAAGGAGAACGCAGGGAAAGAAGAAAACAAAAUUUUGAAAGCAGUACAUAACACAUCAUGCGAAAAACCCUUUAUCAGGUCUGGCGGAUGGACCGGUCUCUCCUGCCUGGGACCGGUCCCAGAGCCUGAAAUUUCGAAAAAUUUUAAAUUAAGCCCAAAAUAUUCUAGAAAAAAUAUAAGUUUUUCCACAAUGUUCAAUCAUCAAAAUAACCAAUUUCCAUUCUCAACAACUUCAAAUAAAAUUUCAUAAAUAAUUUUUGAAAAGUCAAUUUCAAGGAUAUUCAAAUGUCAAAAUUGUUGACCCGAAAAUCAAUUAAAAUUCUAGAUACAUAUAAAAUAAAAUCCCAUAUAUCAUGCAAGAUCUAGAAAUUUAUUGUAUUGUUUUAUCAUCAUAUUUGUUAAAGAAAAUGUAUAAAUAAUUCUCAGAAUCGUGAAAUUAAAAUAAUAUGUUCAAAUUGAGUUAUGCACAAUAUUCGAGACAGGAGUGGCUCUUUGAGCAUCUUUUUUAUUAACAUUCCACCUUAUAUCACCUAUGAGAUGUAUAGAUCUUUGAGCAUUUUUCUUUUUAUCUCUGAAAGGUACUUUCCUUUUGUCUUAUAGAGAUACGUUAAUCAACAUGUGGUAGCUGCACACACUGACCGGACGACCGGGGUGGUAGCUCUUUCCUCCAUGUGGUGGUAGUUUUCACAUUCCCAGCAGGGAUGUAACUCUUUCCACAUCUUAAAUUUCAGAAACUUUCAUAACCAAAAUCGGAAAGACUCCCCCUAAAAUAGUGCAACCCUAAAGUCAAAAAUAUUAUUGCAAUUUCAAAAACAGAGAUAGUGUUAUUCUUCUCAUAAUUAAUAAUCAAACAAACAAUUGCAACAUUCAAAGUUCGAAGCAUGAGGUGUUGAAUUUGAUUCAGUAUGCUAAACAGAAUUUUAAUGAUUUGAUCGUUCAAAAAUUAUGACAAUAGAGAACAACCUUGACAGUGAACAAUCAAAAACUAAAUAUGAAACAAUUAAAGUCAAACAAUUGAGCUAACACUGACCAAAUCAUCUCCCAAAAACAGCAACAUUUUUCAAGAAAGUCAAUCGUCUCUCAAGCAUAAUCAGGAAAUACUGGAAACCAUGCACAAAAACAAAAUGCAACAUGCACAUGAUCUAUGGCCCAAUAGAAUAUAUCUAGAUUGAAGGAUUCAUACCAAUCGCCUUUCUUAAAUGCAGAAAACGUUUUUGAUCCAAAGGUUUGGUUAAAAUAUCUGCAAGUUGAUUUUCAGUCGAAAUAUAUUCAAGCUGUAGAAUGUUUGAUUCAACCAGUUCUCUUAAAAAGUGAUAUCUUAGUUCAAUAUGUUUUGUUCGUGAAUGUAAAACAGGGUUUUUAGAAAUAUUUAUUGCACUUGUGUUGUCACACAGAAUAGUAAGGGAGGAGGAAGGUAUUCGAUAGUCGCUCAGUAAACUUUUCAUCCAAAUCAAUUGAGUAGAGCAACUCCCGACCGCAAUGUAUUCAGCUUCUGCAGUGGAAAGAGCAAUACAGUUUUGUUUCUUACUGUGCCAAGCAACCAGACAGUGACCAAUGUAGAAACAAGCUCCACUAGUACUUUUCCGAUCAUCUGCAGAGCCUGCCCAGUCAGCAUCUGAGUAGCCGAUUAGAUCAAGAGAUGUUCCCAUAGGAUACCAAAAGCCAUAUGCGGUUGUACCUUUAACGUACCGAAUGAUCCUUUUAACCGCUUUCAGAUGAACUUCCUUAGAAUUUGCUUGAUAGCGAGCACAAAUUCCAACACUGAAAGCAAUAUCUGGUCUGCUCGCAGUUAUGUACAAUAGGCUUCCAAUCAUGCUUCUGUAUUGUUUCUCAUCCACGCUCUGUCUUUCCGAAUUCACCCCAAGUCCUUUGUUACUUGUACCCAUCGGAGUGUCAAAAUCCUUUGCACUGUCCAAUCCAAAUUUCUUAACCAAAUCUUUCGCAUAUUUGGAUUGACACAAGUGAAUUCCAUCUUUAGUUUGUUUAACUUGAAGUCCAAGGAAAUAAUUAAGCUCCCCCAUCAUCGACAUCUCAAACUCGCUUGUCAUCAAUUUUGCAAAAUCAUUGGCAUCCUUAUCUUUAGUUGCCCCGAAGACUAUGUCAUCAACAUAAAUUUGUGCCACAAUGAAAUCAUUCUUUAAGUGUUUUACAAAGAGAGUUCUAUCCGCUCCCCCUCGGUUAUAGCCCUUUUCAAAAAGAUAUUUUGUCAAGCGCUCGUACCAUGCUCGCGGAGCCUGUUUUAGUCCAUAAAGUGCCUUUUUCAGUCGAAAAACGUGAUUUGGAAAUUUUGAGUCUAUAAAACCUUUCGCUUGUUCAACAUAAACUUCCUCUUUUAAAAAUCCGUUUAGAAAAGCACUUUUAACAUCCAUUUGAAAAAGAGUGAUUUUAAAAUGGCAGGCAAUCGUGAACAAGAUACGAAUUGAUUCAAGACGGGCAACCGGGGUGAAGGUUUCAUCAAAGUCUAUUCCCUCAAUUUGUGAGUACCCCUGAGCAACAAGUCUCGCUUUGUUCCGAACAAUAGUACUAUCCUCAUUUUUCUUAUUCUUAAAUAUCCAUUUGGUACCUAUUAUGUGUUGUUGCUCAGGACGUGGCACUAAUUCCCAUACAUCAUUGCGGACGAAUUGACCAAGUUCUUCUUGCAUGGCAUUUAUCCAAUAUUCAUCACGUAGAGCUUCAUCAAUAUUCUUUGGCUCAAUCAGAGAAACAUAACAUGCAAAUUCACAUUGUAGCUGACUUCUUGUUCGCACACAAACAUUAGGAUCCCCAAUGACAUUCGAUAAAGGCUGAUCUCUUGACUCCGUCAGGGGUGUAGUCUCAGGAGUUGUACUAGGGAUUUCAGAUGACGUGCUUUGAGGCUCAGAUGAAUCAUUUGAUACAACAUUUUCAGAAGAUGCAAUAGAAUUGUCAAGUGCAGAAACAUCAUCAUUCACAGGCAAUACAAACGGAGAAUCAUUAUCAUCAUCAUUCACCAAAAAAGUAGAAGAAUCAUUCACAGAAGAACUUACAGAAGAAGCUUCAUCUACUUUUAUAUUGAUAGAUUCUAUCACCGUCUUUGUAACACACUGGACCUUUGCAAAUUGCGAGGUUCGAGUGUUUGGAUGUAUUUCGAGCUUUUCCACACUUGGUGGAGGGUUGUAAAAUGUUUCCCGACCCGAAAAGUUCGAAAUCUGGAACCUUGGACAAGUCCUGAGAGUUUUUACUCUCGGGGACCGGUCCCUGGAAGGAGAGACCGGUUCUCCCAGUGAGCAGUGUUGAGGCAGCCUGAGGCAACCGGUCCCUGGCAGGCGAGACCGGUUCCCGAACGCGUCUUCGCGGUAAGAGACCGGUCCCGCGCAGGGAGAGACCGGUUCCCGAACGCUGGUUUUUCGGGUUCGCAGCGAGAGACCGGUCCCUGCUGGGGAGAGACCGGUCCCUCUGGGCGAAAACUGCCCAGUCCGGGCUGACGUAUUUUUGGAUUUUUGAGGGACCUCCUGGGAUUUUGUUACUUUGGAUGGCCUAAAUAGCCCUUCCACCCUCUCUCUUUCUCAUUUCUCUCCUCACACUCCCUCCAUACCUUUGUUAGAGAGAGAAGAAGGAGGAGAAGAAGAAGGAGAAGGAGGGAAGAAGAAGUUUGGAGCCACUAGUGGACUUGGAGCACCUUCCUCACCCUCUCAUCUUCCUUGGUGCUAGAAGGCUUGGGCUUGGAGCUUGCAUAGGAGGAGACCUUCACCCUUGGAGCUAGGAUUGGAGCUUCUAAGGAGGUUUGUUGCCCAUUUCCCUCCUCUAGACCUUGUUUUGAUGGUUUUUGUAGUUGGAACCCUAGAAAUGAGAUUUAGGGUUGAUUUUUGGGGCUUCUUGAUCUAGGGCUUUUGGGGUUAAAUUGAUUGGUUUAGAACCUUCCUUGGGCUUGGAUUGGAAGGGUUCUAGCUCUCUUUUGGAGCUUUGGGAGAGAUUUCUACUCUUGAGGUUAGUUUUGGCCCUAUUUGUUUCUAGAUUGAUGUUUGAUCCUAUGGUUGGUCGUAAUGCUCUCGUAUCUCUUCGCUGAUCACUUUUAGGAUAUCUUGAGGCUCGUGGACAACUUUGUUCGGCGAAUCGAGACCCUACGUGACGGUUCGGUGGGUUUGACCUAGCCACACAAUGAGAAAUUCUCAUUUGUGCUUAACUUUGUGUCGUUAAAUGAAAAAGCAUGCAUAUUCUUGUUAUAUGUAUUUAUUAUGAAUUUUAGAAUGCUUAACAUGCAUAGGUUAUGUGUAGUAAAUUUUGGGACCUCUAUAUGGUAAAGAGCAUGCAUGUGUGGCCCAGCAUUCUAGUUGCGAUUUGAAAUUGUAAUCCCUAUUAUGAAAACGAACCUUGCUUUCAUGCAUUCAAACCAUAUACCAGAUGUGACAUUAGGGAUUUUUGAAAGCCUAGAGAGGCUUAGGGACUUAGAUGAUAUGUGAGAUUGGGCCAAUGUCAUGAAGAGGCAUUGGGGCCCGGGGCAUAGUGAGCAUUAAUGUUAAUGUCUUAAUUGGAACAUGAUUAGUUGUGGAGCUUAAGUGUCAUAAAGAGGCACUAAGCAAGUGUGUGUUGGGACUUCACUUUAUGACUUGAGCUAGAUCUUUGGGAUACUAGUGACUAUACCAUGUUAGAGACAUGAGGAUUGGGUACUUGAGACCGUGACCUCGCUUGUUUGCCAUUUGUGCUCAUUCGCACAUGCUUGUGAGGGUCGCUCCCCACAAGCCGGCACUCCGGAGUUGGCCUAUGCGAUUUUUGUUCGCUCGUGCGAUAUUGAGAAGCCUACGGGGUCGAGUGGGACAGACACAUUCCAAGAGUAGGGAUGUUGGGCUACCACAGGCACUUAGGCGGCACAAGCUGGACUACCUUUGGUAGGUCCUUAAUUGGAAAUGAAAAUCGAUACGGUGUUGAGAAUGAACAAUCACUACUAGAUAGGCUUAGUGGUUGGAUUACAUUUACAUGCAUAUAUCAUAGGGUUGAGACAUGUAGUAUACCUUACAGUUACCUAUUUCAUCACAGCAUACUUGGUUGCCACAAUAGAGCUUAUACAUCAUGGUUGAAUAAAAGGGUUGUAACAGUAAACUAUUGCCAUUGGUUACUUUUCCUUAUGAUAAAAUAGAUGUACAACACCUUGACAUCGUGCUUAUGAGGAAUAUAGUAGUGUAGCAUUCUGCUUAUGCAUUCUCUUUCAGCAGUCAUUUACAUACUCCUUUUUUUUUAUUGCUUAUGGCUUUUAGCAUUACUUACCCUUGUUUUUGGGGCCUAGUGGAGCAGGAGCUGAGGUCAGUAAUUGCCCACUGGGAACUAUAAAUUAUAGUUCUCAUGCCCUCUUUUCUCGUUGUUUUUCAGAGCCUUCCACACAGGGUGAGGCCAGGGAUCGCGGAAAGGGUAUCGCCUCGGGCUAGCGCGCUUACCGAGGGAUCGUUCGAUAGGUGGUCUACCUCUCGUGUUUUUCUUUUUGUGAGAGGUUGAGAGUUGUACCCGUAUAUGUAUAGAGACCACCAUCUUUGUACUAGAGACAGUUAUUGUACUACUUAUGGCUAUCUUUGUUUGACUAGCUUUAUUUCUUUACUUUGGUGUAGAUGAUAGAACUUUACUUGCUCUGAUAUCAUUAGUUGCUAGUUAUUUCACUACUUUUAUUUGUUCUAUCUCUUGCCUUCACUUCCGCUUUUCUUCUAGACGCCUUAUAUGUGUAGACAUAUGGCGGGUCUGGGCACGCUACCGGGAGGGCCUCCGCCGGUCCCGGGGCGUGACAGUCGUAGAUCGUAGAUUGUACGCACGAUAAGCACGACUUGUAGUAGAAUAACUAAGAAAAAUCCCUUCGUCACUUCGAGAGUCAAAUUUUUCAAGAUUUUCACAAUCCCGAAGGAUAAAACAUUUACUCCCGAAGACACGAAAGUAUUUAAUAUUAGGUUUCCUACCAAGCCAAAGUUCAUACGGAGUAUUCAAAGUACCCGGGCACACAUAAAUCCGAUUAAUAACGUAGAUAGCCGUGUUAACUGCUUCGGCCCAAAAGUGUAAAGCGAUUUUCUUACUAUGAAGCAUAACACGAGCCAUCUCCUGUACAACCCGAUUCUUGCGUUCAACCACUCCGUUUUGUUGGGGUGUAUAAGGAGCCGAGAAUUCAUGUUUUAUGCCAUUUGAAACACAAAAAUCAACAAAUUUUGAAUUUAUGAAUUCUUCCCCUUGAUCACUUCGAAUACGUACAAUUUUAUCAUUCCGUUCAGUCAUAAGACGAAGACAGAUUUCAGAAAAAGAAUCAAAAGUAUCAGCUUUUUCUCGUAAGAAGGCACUACAUACAAAACGAGUAAAAUCAUCAACAAUAAGCAAGAUAUAUCGUUUUCUACCCAAACUUUGAAUCCUAGAUGGUCCCAUUAAUUCCAUGUGAAGUAACUAUAAGGGCUUAGAUGUCCCUAAGUGGUUCAAAUUCUUAUGUGCGGAUCUAGUUUGUUUUCCUAAUUGACAACCCCCACACACAGCGUUUUCUUUGAAGUCUAUCUUAGGUACACCUCUAACAACCUCCUUCUUUGUUAUCUUGGAUAGCUCCUUAAAAUUUAUGUGACCUAGUCGUUCAUGCCAUAAAGUUUCAGUCUCUGAUGACGCUAGGUUACAAUAUUCAAUCGAAGAACUAGGAACUACAAAACAGUUAUUCUGAGAUCUAAUUGUCACGCCCCGCCCCGAAACCACCACCAAUUUGGCACGGUUCGGCCGCGGCGGCGGGCCACCGAACGGACAGCACCUCCCCUAUCUGCCCAAGGCUCAACACAGGAAUGUGUACAAGAAUUUACCCAGAAAAUUAAAUUCUAAACAUACACACUCACAAGGGCACAACCAGUGCCAAAAACACAAAGAGCAAACAAAUCCACAAGAUGCACAUGUGAAAUAAAGAGAGUACUUUACUAACUAUUACAUUAAUUCCAACCUUCUCAUUUACAUCAUUUUUUUUAAAUGAAUACAUUUGUCAUCCAAAAAUACAUAGCUCUCCAAAUCCUCACCUACAAUGAAUCUCUCUCAAUAUACAUAGGUGUACUAAUGCAAAAGGAAAGCUACUAUACUACCAUGGUCUCACUGAUCGGGCGCGAUGCCCUUGCCGCGGUCCUCUCUCUGCAGCCCUGAACCUACCACUGGAAAUAGAGUGGGGUGAGAACUAUCUUCCAUAGUUCCCAGUGGGCUCGGCCGCCGACUCUGCCGAUCUCCCCGCUAGGUCCAAGUGGGCACAAGCAACAAUAGAUAGAUAGAUAGAUAGAUAUGUAUCGGGAAGCUGUAAAUGCAAUAGUAGGAAAAACUAUGCUACUAUGCCCAUAAUCAUGAAUAUGAAUACAUGCAUCAUAUAAUAAAGGUUUGCUAUCAUGCUAACAAAUUCGAUCCAUGUUCGAAUAGCAAUGUUCAAUGACAUUAAUAAACCUUUGACCUUUCCAUUUACCCAAUCUGUGGCGAUGCCCUAGGGCUUGCCCAUGACUCACCUUUCAAUCCUAAAGUGGGGAAGGAGCUCCAAGUGCACCCAAGCCCGGGACCGUCUGCGGACCUCCAUGUGGUCCGGACCUCCAAGUGGUCCUAGUCGCACGACACUCCGGAGUACUCGACGACCAUCCCCUCCAUGUGGGGAUUGGAUGGCUAUACCAUCCCAAACGCAGACUGUGAGCUAGAUCUAUCAUCUCCAAGUAAGGAUACUCUACAACUAGAGUCAACAACUCAAUCAAGUCCUCUCCAAGUGAGGAUGCUAUCAACUAGAGUCAAUACCCAAUCGAGUCCUCUCCAAGUGAGGAAACACUAUCACUAGGGUCCACAACCCAAUCAAAUCCUCUCCAAGUGAGGAUGCCCCACCACUAGGGUCAAUGUCUCAAUCGACUCAUCAACAACCUCUCCAUGUGAGGCUACUUAGNUGCUAGUUAUUUCACUACUUUUAUUUGUUCUAUCUCUUGCCUUCACUUCCGCUUUUCUUCUAGACGCCUUAUAUGUGUAGACAUAUGGCGGGUCUGGGCACGCUACCGGGAGGGCCUCCGCCGGUCCCGGGGCGUGACACGUACAUGUGGGUACUUCGAUCCGAAGUCGGUACAGUGGUGCACGCUCGGUGACAUCUUCUUACCCUUGACUUUGAUUAUAAUAAUAAUGAUGAUGGUUCUUUUUUCCUUGUUGUCUUUUAUUAAGAAUGAAGAAUGAUCACAAUGUUACCUUGCAUAUAUAUAUAUAUAUAUAUAUAUAUAUAUAUAUAUAUAUAUAUAUAUAUAUAUAUAUAGAGAGAGUNGAUCACUAGGCAAAUGAUAUCGAAAAAUAAUAAAAUUUAUUUUCUAGGUACUCCAAAUACUCUAGAUCAAGUUUAACAGAGCCGAUCGACGAUUCGAAAGUCGCAACAUUGAAAACGAGCUGGAAGCACGGAAGGCUCCGUGCUUCCGAUAGCAUAGUAACCUCACUCUAUAUAUAUAUAUAUAUAUAUAGUGUUGAGCCUAGCACCCAUGUUGUUCCUGUUUUACUCUACUUGGUUGUUUUCAUGUCUAAUAUCAUGAGUAGGAGUAGAGCAGAUUUGUGAUUUCAUGUGAGAUCGGUGACCUAGUUGGUCGGUUCUUGUAUUCCGUAUUUGUGAUCUAUUCGGUCGGUUUAUUGCAUUUGUCAUCGUGACCUAGUUGGUCUGUUCUUGUAUCCCUUAUCUGUGACCUGUUCGGUCAGUUUACUGCAUUUGUUAUCGUGACCUAGUUGGUCGGUUCUUGUAUCCCGUAUUUGUUACCUAUUCGGUUGGUUUACUGCAUCUGUUAUUGUGACCUACUUUGUCGGUUGGACUACUUGAUGACCUAUGAGGUCAGUGUACCCUGAGGGGUAGGAUUGUCGGCUAGUGGCUGACGACUAGUUCUGGAUUAUACCGUUGCAUGACAUGACAUUCUUGUGACCUAUUGGCCGGUUCUUGUGCAUAUAUGUUAGUUGACAUUGAGUGGUCGAUACUUGCACACUUUAGGAAGGAUGUUAAGUUGUUCUAUCCUAGUUGACCUGAGUGGUCGGUAUUGUUUUCCCUACGGUUUGAUGACCUAUUGGUUGGUGUGCCCCGAGGGGUGGUGAUUGUCGGCUAGUUGCCGACGGUUGGCUAUUGAGCAUAUCAGCAUCGAUCGCCACAUACUCGUUCGCAUUUUACGAACACCAGCGGUCUGAUCCACCGCGGCCGGGUGUUUUUUUUCAAAAAAGUGGUUGGAUGUGCUAGCCCGUGAGCCUAGCCGUCAGAACUAGGUUAUAUACAGCCCGUGAGCCCAGCCGUCAGAACUUGGUUAUAUACAGGUAGAGUGGCAGUGGCGUUGGCUUGAGGUCUGCGGACCGUCAUGCCAGAUUUCUUAUCGGGUAUUUUUUGGACUGAUUGUCCGGUUGAUGCAUAUUUAUACUUUGAUCUGUAUUACAGUAGCGGCUAGUCAUAUUCCUAUAUAUUGUUGUUUACCCAUGCAUCAUUACUACUGUAAUUAUGAUAUCCAUAUAUGCAUUCUGUUCCAUUUUACAGUAGCGGUAGUUACAUGCUUUAUUACUGUUCCCUUUCCUUCAGACAUUAUAACUACUGUAGCUAUGAUAUCUACCUAUGACAUUGUUGAUCUCUUUCUGCCGGUGAGUACACCUUGCCUUCAUCAGCUUGCGGUACCCACUGGGAGGGGAGACAUGUGUACAUGUUCUGACCCCCGACCCCCCUUUCAGGUGACAUUGCUUGUCCGAGUCGGGACGGUUCGUGAGGUGCGUGUCUUAGCGAGCGAUAGAGCUAUCGGCUCGCCGUUUUGGUUAAACUUUUCAAACUUUUCUUUUAAUAAUUGAAUUAGUAUUUAUGGUUCAGUUGGUUUUCAGUUAUACGGGCAAAUGUGGUUUUGUGAAAUGAAUAAAGUACUAUGAUUUUCUUAUGAGAUGAAAACGAUUUUCUACCCCUCGUGGUAGCGCAUUUCUAAAGAAAAAGGGUUUCCGUGUGGGAAACAAUUUUAAAAAGAGUUUUCCUGAUUUUCAUGAUUCUUAGUGUUUCAAAAUGAGUUUCCGAGUAGGAAACGUUUUAAACUAAUAGAUGUGGAUUUAUGGUAAACUUGUGAUGGAAUAAAUGUAAUAUAGUACACUGAACUUGGCAAAUUGCGCAGUUCGAGUGUGGGAAUGACAUUUGGAACCCUUCUACAUCUUUUAAAGGGUGAUAGAGAAGUUUUCGGCAAGUUAGUGAAGUGAUCGAACGGCCGGAAAAGCGUAUUACAAAAUGUCAAAAUUGCAUUCUGCAUUGAGUACCGGUACCAAUGUGAUGGGGUACCAGUACCAGCACAAGCUGCUACGUGGCUGUGAGGAGAAUUCAAUCAUUUCACUUCUAAAACUUAUCUACAACCCCUAAGCUCGACCCCAGCAGCUCAACCCGCCGUCGCGCCGUUCUCGUGUGAACCUGAAACCCCAAAACCACGUGGGGUGAGAACUAUAUAAAUAUAGCUCUCAGUGGGUACGGUCACCCAAGGGAAGAGCUCGACCCACCAGGUCCAAAGGAGGCACUGCAAACAUAUUAGUCCAACAAAUAUCCACAUAUAUAUAUAUAUAUAAUUUAUGCAACUAACAAUUAUCAUUUUCAUGCCUCACAAUAUGCAAUAUGCGAAUCAUGAAAGUAGUUCACUUGAUUCUAUUCUUUACCAUUUGUCAUUCUUCAUUAUUAUUCGUUCUUGAUUACUAGCCAUUCUUUAUCGCUAGCCGUUCUCUAACGCUAGCCAUUUCUUAUUACUAGCCGUUCUUGAUUCUUAGCCAUUCUUUAUUAUUGCUAUACUUUAACAUUAGCCGUUCUUUAUUCUUUAUUCUUUAUUCUUUACUAAGGGUACUCACAACUUAGCCAUAUUAUACACAUUUGCCAUUCUUUCCUAAGGUUAUUUUACCUUAGCCAACUAUACCACUCGACUCGGUCUUGAGUCAAUCAACUGUGGAUAAUUCGCGCUCUAUCAGGCUCGAGGUGAAUGAACUAUCACAUACACCUCAGCCACCAAUCCACAAACCACAUAGCCCAAUGGGUAGCUUAGAACAGCGCACACCCGCGGUCAGGAAUCUUCCCGGUGGGAGGGGAGUAUACCACAUGCACCAUAGCAAUCCAAAAUUCUUCCGGUGGGAGGGGNUAUUAUUAGUCAUUCUUUAACACUAGCCGUUCGUUAACGCUAGCCAUUCCUUAUCUUUAGCCAUUCUUGAUUCUUAACCAUUCUUUAUUACUUGCAAUUCUUUAUUCUUUGUCACACUAUGGUCAUUUGCCAUUCUUUAUUAAGGUUAUUUUACCUUAGCCAACUAUGCUACUCGACUCGGUCUUGAGUCAAUCAACUGCGAAUAGUCCACGCUCAGUCAGGCUCGAGGCGAAGGACGUCUCACAUGCACCUCAGCCUUGAAUCCUCUCAACUGUAGGUCUUCUCAUAGGGUGAGGAAAUACCAUCAAACCCUGAACCACCGGUCACUCAACGGAUCUACGGGCGAGGAGAACCACACAUACCCGUUGAAUUACUGCCGGGCGAGGAGAACCACACAUACCCGCAGUUAUAAUUCACUUGCGCUUGAUCGCAAGUCUCAUCCGCUGCACUAGCAGCCGUUGCACUAGCAUCCUUCAUUCCUAGGGAUUCUGGAAUCCACAUUCAUGUCUCUAGGGUUGGUCUUAUACCCUACAGUGUCGACCUAUCGAGGUCCAAGCCAUUACUCAACCUAAGUUUAAUACAUUAGGUCCAAUGUCACUAUGUUCAUAGCCUAGGUUCUAUAAUACUAGGUCCGAUGUUCUUUACUACCUAGGUUCAUUUGACUCUAGGUUCAAUUCUCUACUUAUGUUCAAUGCCACUAGGUUCAAUGCCACUCAUGAUUUACCUAUGUUCAAUACACUAGGUUUCAAUACCACUCAUGAUACUUGUUAUCCUAAUUAUCCACACUUAGGAUUCUUUACAUGCCACACUUGUCAAGUUCUUUAUUCUUUCUCAAGUUCAUCGUCCACGAUUCAACAUUCACAUCUAGGCAUACAUAUCCUAUAUGCUUACUCAUGCCGAUGUCUUUAUCAUUCAAGGGUAAACAAUAUACCUCAUGCAUUCUUGACUAGCAUAUAUCAUAUGCAUUCAUGAUUAGCAUCUCUAUUAUGCAUUCUCAUUCAUAACUAGCAUCUCUAUCAUGCAUUCAUUAUUAGCAUACGUCUUAUGCAUUCAUUAGCAUCUAGCUCAUGCAUUCUCUCAACAUAUACUCUAUGCAUUCUUUAUUAGCAUCUCAAUCAUGCAUUCUCAUUCAUAACUAGCAUCUCUAUCAUGCAUUCAUUAUUAGCAUACGUCUUAUGCAUUCAUUAGCAUCUAGCUCAUGCAUUCUCUCAACAUAUACUCUAUGCAUUCUUUAUUAGCAUCUCAAUCAUGCAUUCUCAUUCAUAACUAGCAUCUCUAUCAUGCAUUCAUUAUUAGCAUACGUCUUAUGCAUUCAUUAGCAUCUAGCUCAUGCAUUCUCUCAACAUAUACUCUAUGCAUUCUUUAUUAGCAUCUCAAUCAUGCAUUCUCAUUCAUAACUAGCAUCUCUAUCAUGCAUUCAUUAUUAGCAUACGUCUUAUGCAUUCAUUAGCAUCUAGCUCAUGCAUUCUCUCAACAUAUACUCUAUGCAUUCUUUAUUAGCAUCUCAAUCAUGCAUUCUCAUUCAUAACUAGCAUCUCUAUCAUGCAUUUAUAUAACAUCUAUCUCAUGCAUACUAGAUUAGCAUACGAUACAUUCAUUUAGCAUUUAGCUCUUGCAUUCACUUAGCAUCCAACUCAUGUAUUCAUGUAGCAUUUAGCUCAUACAUUCACUUAGCAUAACUUAUGCAUUUUUUAUUAGCAUCUCAAUCAUGCAUUUAUAUCUAAAUUAUGCAUUUAUAUAACAUCUAUCUCAUGCAUUCGUUUAGCAUCUAGCUCAUGAAUCUAGCUCAUGUUAUUUAGCAUAUGACUCAUGCAUUCAUUCACUUGGCAAUUAACUACCAUUUCAUGCAUCAAUAAUGUAACACACUUCACUUUGGCAUGGAAGCGACCUAAUCGCUUCGGUAGAGCACAACCCACCUAAUAUUGCUCUCCGAUUGCUUGUAGUCACUUGUAACCAGCCUCCCGCGGCACACGUGUCCGGUUUGGCUCGCACUCGCCUCGCAAACGAUCACCGAACACUUGUCGAUUCUCAACUUAGAGUUGUUAGGAGCUCAUCUCUAGCCUUCAAUUAGAGAAAUACGGGGUUAUUAUAGAUCAAAACCCUUAAACCCCAAAACACUCAUUUCUAGCCCUAACUUUUCAUUUCUCCCAAAUAGCCUAAGUAUUCAUGGAGAAAACAUGCUAGAAACAUUCUAAGGGUUAUUAAAACACUAAGCAUUAAGGAUCAAACCAAAUUCCAAAAGCUUAACAAAAUGUGAACGCCAAGACAGAAGCACGCCACUCAACCAGGUGCACAAAGACCCGAUCCGACGCACCCAACGCGUUCCAAAGCUCGCUCUCCGCCAACACCGCGAAUUGAGAGAAAGACUAGAGAAAGGAGAGAGAUAUCUAGAGAGAGAAUGGGAGGGUUUCUCUCUCCCUCACCAUGCAUGUGUGUGUGUGUGGUGUGUACGGUUGAGAAGGGAAGAAGAAGCCCCACUACAUAAAGCCCUCCACCAACAUUACACAAUUUUAGUUUAGCAGCUUAGAAUCUGUUCCUUUUCGCCGGAGGCCUUCUGAAUGUCCGUUUAUGCUCAAAUUUGACAGUCAGGCUCGGUUUAAGCUAAUAAAAAGAAAUAUAUCUUAACUUUUCAUUUGGACCAUUUUUGGUCACCGAAAGCUCUACUGAACUGAAAUCUCUAGCAGAUAACAGUCGGAUUUUAUUUUUCACUUUCCGGGUGUCGGAAUGACAUGAAACAUUAAAUUUAGCCUCAUGAAAAUAAUUCCGACAUAUUUCCAAGUUUUCAUAAUUUUCUGACACUGUGAAUUUUCUGCUAAAAUAUCAGCUCCGUUUCUCACAGAAAAUUCUAAAUUCUCUGUUUCCGUUUCGAUUUCAGCACAAGUCGUUUCCGACUUAUAUUUUACUUCUUAAAUCCAAUAAAAAUAGUAUCUCACACUAUUUUUAUUUAUAUUUACUUUUAUAUUAAAAUUCGGUACAUUACACCUAUGCUUUCAUCAUCCAAUGGUAGUCAAUACAUAGCAUCUAUCUCAUGCAUUCACAAUUGCAAUUAAACUACCAUUACAUGCAUCAAUAAUACAACCAACUUCACUCUUUGGCAUGGAAGUGACAUAAUCAUUUCGGUGAAGCACAACUCACCUAAUGAUACUUUCCGAUUGCUUGUCGACACUUGCAAUCGGGCUCCCGUGACACACGUCGCCCGGUUCGGCUCGAACUCGCAAUCGAUCAUCGAACGCUCAUCGAAUUCCAACCUAGAGUUAUCAGGGGCUCUCUUUUAACCUUCAAUUAGAGAAUUAGGAGAUCAAUUAGGUUCAAAACCCUAAAACCUCAAAACCCCCAAUUCCAAACCCUAAUUUCUCAUAUUCUCCAAAUACCCCAAAAAUUCAUAGAGCAACAUGCUUAGAAUUAUCUAGGAUCUCUAGAAUACCAUUCAUAAAGGAUUUAAUCAAAAUCCUCAACUCUCAACAAAAUGCGAACCUCAAGUCGAAGGCACGCCAUACUACCAAGCGCUCAAAGACUCGAUCCAUCGCUCCCCAUGCGUUCCCGAGCUCGCUCUCCACCAAAACCCUAAGUUUUGGAGAGAGAUUUAGAGAGGAGAUGAGAGAAAACUAGAGAGAAAAAGGAGAGCUUCUCUCUCUCUCUCAAGUGUGUGUGUGUGUGUUUUGCGUUGGCUGGGGAAGAAGGAGAAGGAAGGGUUCUCCUUUAUAAGCCUAUGCCUUCAAUUUACCAAAAUGCCCCCUUUCUGGGCAACCCGCGUGUACGGGGUUUGGACCUUGCACUCAGGGUCCGGACCCCGAGAGCACUUCCAGCUUGAAAUGACCUGGAGUUGGCGGCCGUAGUCUUUGCAUUGAAGCUAUGGCGCCAUUACUUUUAUGGCGAGUGGUGUGAAGUGUAUACGGAUCACAAGAGCUUAAAAUACUUAUUCACUCAAAAGGAGUUGAACUUGAGGUAGCGCAGAUGGUUGGAGCUCCUCAAGGAUUAUGAUUUGACAAUCCUUUACCACCCAGGCAAAGCUAACGUGGUGGUGGAUGCGCUAAGUCGGAAAUUGACGGAAAACUUAGCGAUGCUUGUGGUUACUGAACCGCCCUUGAUCGAGCAGAUGAAGCGGUUGGAGUUAGAGGUGGUGGCUCCUGAUAUUCCUUUGAGGUUGAUGGCUUUGGUGAUGUAACCUAACCUUUUGGAUAAAAUCAAAGAAAAGCAAGCUCACGAUGUGGAGUUGCAAAGGCUUAGAACUAAGAUGGUUGAGGGUUGCACCGGUGACUUUACUGUGGACGGUGUUGGAUUGAUGCGUUUCCGCGGUUGUGUGUACCGGCGGAUUUGAAUAUUAAAGAGGACAUUCUUCAAGAAGCACACCGUGCACCCUAUGCGAUACAUCCGGGAGGCAUCAAGAUGUAUAAGGACUUGGAGUUGCUUUAUUGGUGGCCCGGGAUGAAAAAGAACGUUGGUGAGUUUGUUGCUAGAUGUUUAACUUGCCAACAGGUGAAAGCUGAGCAUCGAGUCCAUGCGGAAAAAUUACAGAGCUUACCGAUUCUAGUAUGGAAAUAGAAGAAAAUCACCAUGGACUUCGUGAUAGGAUUGCCUCGCUCACAGGUCGGGCAUGAUGUUAUUUGGGUGAUCGUGGAUAGGUUGACGAAAUCGGCUCAUUUCAUACCUAUUCACACUACUUGGACUGGUGAGAGACUCGCACAGGUAUAUCUUGAUGAGAUUGUUCGAUUACACGGGGUACCUACUUCUAUAGUUUCGGAUCGAGAUUCCCGUUUUGUAUCUCAUUUUUGGAGGAACUUAUAGGAUGCCUUGGGCACGCGCUUAUAUUUCAGUACAGCUUUCCACCCCCAGAGUGACGGGCAGUCGGAGCGCACUAUACAGACUCUUGAGGAUAUGCUUCGAGCCAGUGAUCGACUUCCAGGGAGGAUGGUCGCGGCAUCUACCGAUAGCAGAAUUUUUUUAUAACAAUAGUUAUUAAGCAAGCAUCAAUAUGGCACCCUUCGAGACACUUUAUGGGCGAAUGUGUAGAUCGCCACUUCAUUAGAGUGAAGUUGGUAAGAGAUUGGCUUUAGGCCCCGAUGUGCUCCAGGAAGUAGAAGACAAGGUUCGUAUUGCUCGGGAGCGACUGUUGACAGCCCAGAGUAGGCAGAAGAGUUAUGCUGAUAAGCAUCGACGAGACUUGGAGUUUCAGAUUGGAGAUCAUGUCUUCUUGAAAGUCUCGCCGACCAGGAAAAUUAGAAGAUUUGGGAUCCGGGGUAAGUUGAGCCCCCGAUUUAUUAGACCGUAUAAGGUUUUGGAGCGUGUAGGCCCGAUAGCGUAUCGACUUGCUCUACCACCGAAUCUAUCGAGUGUACACAAUGUAUUUGAUGUAUCGGUCCUUCGGAAAUACAUCCAUGAUUCGGCUCAUGUUUUAGAUGCUACACCAUUGGAGCUGAGGAAUGAUUUAAGCUUUGAAGAGCAACCUUUGAGGAUUUUGGCUCGCGAGGUGAAGAGGCUACGGAACCGUGAGAUUCCCUAUGUGAAGGUGCUUUGGAGUAACCACGAUGAAUGCGAGGCCACUUGGGAGUUGUAGAGCGCACUGCAGGAGCGCUAUCCCCAUCUUUUUCAGAUGGAGACUUGAGGUAUUUUGCUUCUUGAGUUUCGUAGAUGAAACUCCUAUUUAGGAGGGGUGAAUGUAACACAUUGGACCUUUACAAAUUGCGAGGUUCGAGUGUUUGAUUAGUGUUCUGAGUUUUUCUAGAUUUUCUGGUGGGUCGUUGACAGUGUUCCGACCUAUGGCUCGUAUCCCGAGAAUUGAUAUAUUUAAAGUAGUGCUAAGGUCACCAAAGAGGAGGACUUAGGCUGCUCUCGGGUUGCCUUCUGCAGGAUUGUGUACUGGUACAUCUUGAUGGUUGUACCGGUACAGAAAGUGUACCGGUGACAACUCGAUAGUUGUACCAGUUCAGAUGUGGUUUAUGGCCAAUCCGAGCCUUGAGUUUGCGCAUUCGUGGGAUUUGUACCGGUAUACUUUCUCGUGUACCGGUACACUUUGCCAGAUUGCAAACUGGCAGCUUUUGAGGGGUGUAUUUGCUAUUGUUGCUUCUCUAUACAUACCCCACGGCCUUUAGAGGGUUCCCUGAGCUGGGAAACAGUGGAGACAAGGUAGGGGACCUCCUCUCUUUCCCUCUUUGGAUUUGAUCUCCAUUUUGCAUGGAUUUUGGUGGAUUAAUCCCUUCUUUUUCUUCUUGGUGCAAAUUCCACCUUGGGAGAAGCUUGGACUUCGAGUUUGGAGCUUGAUAGGAGAGAGAUCUUCAAACCUAGUGGACUUUGAUCCUUGUUUGAAGCUUCUAAAGAGGUUAGUUACAUACUUCUCCUCUCUAGAUCAUGAUUUGGUGGAUUUUAUGUGUGAAAACCCUAGAAAUGGAAACUUAGGGUUUAUUUGGGUAUUUUGGACUUAGGGCUUUUGGAGCUUAAUUCCUUGGAUUAGAACAUUCCUCUAGGUUGGAUUGGAAGGGUUCUAGCUCCCUUUUGAAGAUCGAGAGAGACUAUCACCGUCAUAGGUGAGUUUUUGCCCCUUUGCUAGAAAUGCUUAAUGAUUGAGUUUAGGGUUGUUCGUAACGUUCGUGUAUCUCUUCUCUUGUUACCUUUAGGGUGCUAGAAGAAUAGUGAGCAACUCUGUUCGGCGAAACGAAGGAGUUUUAGCGGAGCUUCGGUGGGUUUGACCUCACCAAAGAAUGAGAAAAUCUCAUUUUUGUUGAUUUAAGUAUCGUAAAAUGGAAAAUGAUGCAUUUUCAUGUUAGAUAUAUUAUUUAUGAAUUUUAGAAUGCUUAAAAUGCUUAUGUUGUAUACAAUGCAUUUUUGGACCUUUAUGUAGUAGAGAGCUUGCAUGUGAGACUUAUGCAUGAGUUUAGCAUUCGCAUUCGGGACUUAGAAUCAUGUUUCGUAUAGUGAAAAUGACAAUGUUAUAUGCCCUUGGACAUAUGAGAAUACAUUAGGCCAUGAAGUGGCUUGGGACUUGGAUAUCAUGUGAAUUAAUGAGCUAAUGUCAUAAAGUAACAUUGAGCUUGAUUUAUGUAUGAACCUAGUAAAUAAUGUCAUAAAGAGGCAUUAGAUUAGAGUGAUAUGUGAAUUAGGGAGCUAAUGUCAUAAAGAAACAUUGGGCUCGGAAAUGGGACUUAGCAAGCUAAUGUCAUAAAGAGACAUUGGGCUCGGAAUUGGUAUAGUAAGCUAGUGUCACAAAACGGCAUUGGGUUUGGACUAGAUAUGGACUUAGCAAGCUAAUGUCAUAAAGGGGCAUUAGGCUUGGAAUAUGCGCGGACUUAGUAAACCGAAUGUCAUGAAGUGGCAUUAAUGUUGGAACAAGAUUUGGGCGUAGUGAAAUAUAAUGCCAUAAAGGGGCAUUGGACAUAAUGAAUGGUUAAACCUUCACUUGGGAUAUUGGACUAGACCUAUGGGUUGCUAGCGAUCAUUUCCAUGGUUGAGCCAUGAUGACCGGAUCGUUGUGACGAUGACAAUGCUUGCUUACUUGCCAUUUGUGCUUAUUUGCACAUGCUUGUGAGGGUCGCUCCCUACAAGCCGGUACUUCGAAGUUGGCCUACGCGACUUAUGCUCGCUCGUGCGGUAUCGAGAAACCUACGGGGUCGGGAGGUAUAGACUCAUUCCUAUAGUAGGAAUGUUGGAACUACCACCGACAUUUAGGUGGAACAAGCUGGACUACACUUGUGUAAGUCCCCAAAACAAAAUUGAACAAUGACAUCAAUCCAUAAAUGAUAAUUACUACUAAAUAGGGUGUAGUAGUUGGAUCACCUUGCCAUGUACAUAGCAUAGCUGUGAGCAUUUGAGAUAUGUAGUAUACUUGGUAAUAUCGCUCAUUGCAUUAUAGUAUACUUGCUUGCCAUGUGGGAUCAUACUAGAUAUGUGUUGGACAUGCUUGAUCAUGAUAGAAUGAAUGUAUAAUAUAUUGUCAUCAUAUUACUUAUGGCCUAGUAGUUUAGCAUUCAAUACAUGCUUUCAUAUCUGCAGUUUAUUUUCAGUUGUUUAUCAUAUCUACUUUACUCGUUUGGGCCUAGUGGAGCAUUGUGCUGAGGUCAGUAAUUGCCCACUGGGAACUAUAAAUUAUAGUUCUCACGCCCCCUAUUUCUUGUUUCCUUUCAGAGCCUUCCACACCGGGUGAGGCUAGGGACCGCGGAAAGGGUAUCGUCUCGAGCUAGCUUGUUGGCGAGGGACUUAUCGAUAGGUGGUCUACAUCUCAUUGGUUUUAUUUUGGAGAGGUCGAGAGUUGUAUCUAUGUAUAGUGACAACCCCUUUUGUAUCUCGAGACAGUUGAUGUAUUUACUUUAUAUUAUAUAUUAGUGGAUUAGUUUUCUUUCUCUCUACUUGUUAUUAGAAUUUAGCUGUUGUUGCCCUGAUAUCUCUAGUUGUCUUACUUCUACUUGCUUUCAUAUCUCUAUUAUUGUAGACGCCUUACAUGUGCAGGCAUAUGGUGGGUCUAGGAUAUGUGCAGGCAUAUGGCGGGUCUGGGCACGCAUCGGGCGGGCCUACGCCGGGUCCCGCGGCGUGACAUCUAUUAUGCUCUAAUAGUGUAAAUUUGCAAUGAAUGCAUGUUCACACUCAAAUGAACAAAAAUUGAAAUCUCAUAAGAUUGUUCUAUUAUGUCUUAAAAGUGUAAAUUUAUAAUGAAUAUAUAUUCAAAUUUAAACAAACAAAAAUUAAAAUCUCAUAAUACUGUUCUAUUAUAUGCUAAGAGCGUAAAUUUGUAAUGAAUAUGUGUUUACAUUAAAAUGGACAAAAAUUAAAACCUCAUAAGACUGUUCUAUUAUGCCUUAACAGUAUAAAUUUGCAAUGAAUACAUGUUCACAUUUAAAUAAAUAAAAAUUAAAACGUAAUAAGAUUUCUAUUAUACUCUAAGAGUGCAAAUUUGCAACGAAUAUAUAUUCACAUUCAAAUGAACAAAUAUUAAAACCUCAUAAGACUGCUCUAUUAUGACCGAAGAGUGUAAAUUUACAACGAAUACAUAUUCACAUUCAAACAAAUAAAAUUUAAUCAUAUACGUGAUCUAUAAACCAUAUAUGUGUGUGAAAGAGACUGUACUAUACAAGUAGCAAUUUCUAAACCCUAACCCUAAAUUAUGAAUUCUACAAAUACAUAUAAAAUAAUCAUUCAUAGAAGUAUCCUAGUAUGUUUUGUUUUAAGCAGUAUAGCAAGGUAACUCCUAAAUAUCUCAUAACAUCGUUCUACAAAUCCAUAGGAGUAUAUAUUUGCAAUGAAUACAUAUGUCUUAUUAAACGAACAAAACUUAAUCAUAUGCGUCAUCUAUAAACCAUAUGUAUGUGUGUAUGAUUGUGGUAUACAAGUGAAAAUUUAUAAACCCUAAUCCUAAAUUAUGAAUUAUAUGGAUAUAAACAAAAAUAUAGGCACCAGUAAAUUUGUAUAGCACUAUUCUACCAAUCCCUAAAUUAUAUAUUUGCAAUGAAUAUAUGUUCUACAUUCAAACGAACAAAAUUUAAAACCUCACAGCACUGUUCUAUUAUGUCGUAAUAAUACAUAUUUGUAAUGAAUACAUGUUAACUAUUCUAAACCGAACAAAAUUUAAUUAAAUGCGUGAUGUAUAAACAGUAUGUGUGUGUGUGUGACUGUGGUAUACAAGUAGCAAUAUCUAAACCCUAACCCUAAAUCCUAAAUUUAUAUAAAUACAACAAAAAAUAAUAUAUACCAGCACAAUUGAAUUUGAAUAGUUUUCUCAAAUUGAGUGAAUUUAAUAUCUCUCGAUUAUGAAGACAGCGGCACGACAAGGCGAAUGUGAUGAUGGUAACCAAACCCUAAAAAUAUGAAAUUUUAUGUUAAAUAAGAAAUAAAAGAAUAAAAUUAUAGGACUUAUAGAAGAUUAGAGGGUUGUGGCUGAAAAGUCGAAAAUUGCCCCCAAUUUUGGGUGCCUACGAGCGUAUGAACGAGUAGCAGGUCCUGCGAUGGAUAGGGGAGGAGAGCGGAGCGGAGUAUCCUACAAGCGACGAGAGGUGAGCUCCUACCGAUGGAGACAGGCGAGAGCGAGAGAGAUCUCUGAGAAGGUUGGAGUAGGGAUUCCUAGAUAGCACAAAAGAGAGCUUGGGAGAGAGCUUGGGAGAUAGCAACAUGGGAAUGUGUGGAACGAAAGAAAGGCGGCAUGAGAGGCGAGCUCCUGCCGAUGGAGAGAGACAAGAGCGAGAGAGAGCUCUGUCGAUGGAGAUAGAUGACAGCGAGAAAGAGCUCAGAGAGCGCGAGACAGAGCUUAGAGAGCGCCAGAGAGAGAGCUUGGGAGAGAGCAGGGGAAUGCGUGAAAUGAAAAUAAGGCGGCGUGAGAAUAUACACGCACUUAAUUCCUGUUUAAUCUCAACCAUCUUUGUUUGGGGUGUAAGAUAUAUACACCCCAAACAGGAGUGUGCAUGUAGACUUUUCCUUUUUUCAAAUGGUAAACUUCAAUUUAUCCCAUUGUAGUUUAGUAUGUGUUUUUUUUGUAACUUUGUACUUCAAGAAGUUAUCCUUAAUUAGGUAUUUUGUGGUUUAGCGAAUUUUCACUUCGUCAUCAUGUGGUUCAAAAAUUUAUACUAAAUUAUACUAUGAUUUUAUUUUGCUUCGCUAUAAAGAUCUAUCGUUAAGUAGGAUAACAUCUUAUAAUUUUUAAAACAUUUUAUUUUACUAUCCUGUUUGGUCGUAGAUUUUUCGAUUAAAUAAAGAUAAAAUUUUUAAAAAAUUAAAUAUAUUUUUUUAUAAAAAAUAAAAAAAUAAAAAAGCUAAACUGUAAAGAGAUAAAUUAAAGUUUAUUAAAAAAAAACCUAAACUUCGUGCGAUCAUGCUUUUGCCAAAGUCGCUGUGGCAUUCUAAAGCCCACAAAUCUCCACAUCAGCGUUUUUGGGCCCAAACGAUGUGCACUCCAAGCGACGGACGGUCACAAAACAGUUGAAAGAUCGUCCUCGCCCUAGUAACGACGAUACGCGCAUACCAAACAAAAGAAAACAAAACAAGAAAAAUCGUCUUUUCGCUGCUCCCUGUUAUCACCUCCCUCCCGUAGUAAGCAGAUUAUAGCGGAGUUGGGUAAUCCGGAGGAGCCAAUAGGAAGGCGAGCCGCAUCGUUCGCUAUCCCUACUCCUUACCCACGCCCCGGCCCCAUUCACGGGCUCAGAUAAGCCCCCAAAAUCCCCCUCUCGUCCUUGCCCCUGUGCUAAAACAGAACAAAUCACUCUUCUCGUUCCUAUCAUGGCCACGUGUCUUAGGUUCCACCACCAGCCUCUGCACUCCCACAGCCCUAAAUUCCCUCCACCGACAUACCGCUCGCUCUUUCCUCCUCACUCUUUAAUGGACUAUACAUACCCACCGUCCCUCCUCUUCCUAGUUUUAGCGGAAGAGAGAAGGGUACUGCCCCUUUCUCAACAGCAAUCAAAAAAGAGAAAAAGUAUAUGUAUAAAGAACAGAAUUGGAAGAGUGCUUAAAGAAAGCAAGAAAGAAAGGUUUUGAAGAAUGUCGUCCCUGGUCUCCACCCCCUUCACCCACCCCAGUUCGGCGAGAAUAGAGCUGCUCUCCUCUGCAUCCCAGAGGCACCACAUUUUUCUCCACUCGUUCCUCCCCAGGAGCAGCAGCAGCGGUAGCAGUAGCAGGUCGGUCCGCAAUGGCCGGACGGUGCGGUGCGCCGUACUAGGCAACGGGCUGUUCACGCAGACCAACCCCGAUGUGCGCCGCAUCGUGCCCCCGGACGCGGACCGGAGCCUCCCCAGGGUGAAGGUGGUCUACGUGGUCCUCGAGGCCCAGUACCAAUCCUCGCUCUCCGCGGCGGUGCGCGCCCUCAACGCCGAGCGCCGCUACGCCUCCUUCGAGGUCGUGGGCUACCUGGUGGAGGAGCUCCGCGACGAGAGCACGUACCGGACCUUCUGCGAGGACCUCGCGGACGCCAACGUGUUCAUCGGCUCUCUGAUCUUCGUCGAGGAGCUGGCGCUCAAGAUCAAGGCGGCCGUCGAGAAGGAGCGCGACCGGAUGGACGCCGUUCUCGUCUUCCCGUCCAUGCCGGAGGUAAUGCGGCUCAACAAGCUGGGCUCCUUCAGCAUGUCGCAGCUCGGGCAGUCCAAGAGCCCCUUCUUCCAGCUCUUCAAGCGGAAGAAGCAGUCCGCCGGGUUCGCCGAGAGCAUGCUGAAGCUGGUGCGCACGCUGCCCAAGGUGCUCAAGUACCUCCCCAGCGACAAGGCGCAGGACGCCCGGCUGUACAUCCUCAGCCUGCAGUUCUGGCUCGGCGGCUCCCCCGACAACCUCCGGAAUUUCCUUAAGAUGAUCGCCGGCUCCUACGUCCCGGCUCUCAGGGGCGCCAAGAUCGACUACGCCGACCCGGUGCUGUUCCUCGACAGCGGUAUUUGGCACCCGCUGGCCCCCUGCAUGUACGGCGACGUCAAGGAGUACUUGAAUUGGUACGGGACGCGGCGCGAUGCCGACGAGCGGCUCAAGGACCCGAACGCGCCGGUUGUCGGAUUGGUCCUGCAGAGGAGCCACAUCGUCACGGGCGACGACGGCCACUACGUCGCUGUGAUCAUGGAGCUGGAGGCGCGGGGGGCCAAGGUGAUACCCAUCUUCGCGGGCGGGCUCGACUUCUCAGGCCCGGCGGAGAGGUACCUGAUCGACCCCGUCACUGGCAAGCCAUUCGUCCACGCCGUGGUGUCGCUCACGGGGUUCGCGCUCGUGGGCGGCCCGGCUAGGCAGGACCACCCGCGGGCGAUCGAGGCGCUGAGCAAACUGGACGUGCCAUACAUUGUGGCUCUGCCGUUGGUGUUCCAGACCACCGAGGAGUGGCUGAACAGCACCUUGGGAUUGCAUCCAAUUCAGGUGGCGCUGCAGGUCGCUCUCCCGGAGCUCGAUGGUGGAAUGGAGCCCAUCGUGUUCUCCGGCCGCGACCCGAGAACAGGCAAGGCAUCACCUGCACACACGCGCGCGCGCGCACACACACACUCUCUCUCCUUCCUUUCAUUUCUUUUCUUUUCUAGUCCUCUUCUUUCUAAAACUAAGUAUGAUGUAUUGUAUUUUUAAAUAAAGGCUAACUAUCGGAUGUGGGUGUGUUUUGGGCCCAGGGAAGUCACAUGCGCUGCAUAAGAGGGUGGAGCAGCUGUGUACGAGAGCAAUCAGGUGGGCAGAGCUGAAGAGAAAAUCUAAGGUAUGUUUUUUGCUGUUUAGUUCUGCUUUUGUUUGUGUGGAACUUAUUUUACUACGGCGUUCAUUACUCUAAGCAUCUUUCCUUGAUAGUGGUUAGGGUUGGAUAAAAAUAGGCGUAACAGCACCUGCUAAUUAAUACAUAUAACGUGCUAGCAUGCCUUAUCCCUUUCUCUACCCUAAGUUCCAGCUAUGCUACUCUAGCCCCAUUACCUUAAAUCAAAACUUGCUCCAACGAUAUGAUCCAAUAUGCCUAUUAUCCUUUGGCUUGGAAAUUUUCACAUUCAUUGUGACAGCAACAAGUUAACUGAUUUGCCAAAAUCAAUACAUUCCAGAGAGUAAACUAGAAUGUUACCAAAGUAACUAUGCAUGAAUUUGAUGUAAUUGCUAUGUAAGAUGCCACACCAAAAGAAUACUUGUGUUGCGGAAAAUACAGUUGGUUACAUAGAAAUUUUGAUUUGUCCUUUCUUUCUAUUGUAACUUACAUGUAUUUUUCCUCUUGGCAUCAGGUAGUUUGUACUAAAACUUUUCUCAAUUGUUUCAACAUCAUUUUUGUGACUCACUGCAGGAAGAGAAGAAGUUGGCAAUCACUGUCUUUAGCUUUCCGCCUGACAAGGGCAACGUGGGCACAGCUGCCUACCUGAAUGUCUUCUCCUCCAUCUUUUCCGUCCUUCGAGACCUCAAGAAGGACGGCUACAAUGUGGAGGGCCUUCCUGACACACCUGAAGCGCUCAUCGAGGAUGUCAUCCAUGACAAGGAGGCCAAGUUCAGUAGCCCCAACCUCAACAUCGCUCACAAGAUGAGCGUGCGUGAGUACCAGCAGCUAACACCUUAUGCGUCCCUGUUGGAGGAGAACUGGGGCAAACCCCCUGGCAAUCUCAAUUCUGACGGCCAGCACCUCCUUGUUUAUGGAAAGCAGUACGGCAAUAUCUUCAUUGGGGUGCAGCCCACUUUUGGAUAUGAAGGCGACCCAAUGCGCCUCUUAUUCUCCAAGUCGGCUAGCCCUCACCACGGCUUUGCUGCAUACUACUCCUUUGUGGAGAAGAUCUUCAAGGCUGAUGCUGUUCUCCAUUUCGGCACUCAUGGUUCUCUUGAAUUCAUGCCUGGGAAGCAGGUUGGGAUGAGCGACGUAUGCUACCCUGACAGCCUCAUUGGAAACAUUCCCAACAUCUACUAUUAUGCAGCUAACAAUCCGUCGGAGGCCACCGUUGCCAAGCGAAGGAGCUAUGCAAACACUAUAAGCUACUUAACACCGCCGGCUGAGAACGCAGGGCUUUACAAGGGACUCAAGCAACUUGCAGAGCUCAUCUCGUCUUACCAAUCCCUCAAAGACACUGGUCGAGGGCCACAGAUUGUGAGCUCAAUCAUCAGCACUGCAAAGCAGUGCAACCUUGACAAAGAUGUGAGCCUGCCGGAAGAAGGGGAGGAGCUUUCCCCUGAGGAGAGAGACCUCGUGGUUGGAAAGGUGUACUCAAAGAUUAUGGAGAUCGAGUCCCGGCUUCUGCCUUGCGGGCUCCAUGUGAUUGGCGAGCCUCCCACUGCCAUGGAGGCUGUGGCAACGUUGGUGAACAUUGCUGCUCUCGACCGUCCUGAGGAUGGUAUUUACUCACUUCCAGGCAUACUGGCGGAGACUGUAGGCAGAAACAUUGAGGAUGUGUACAGAGGAAGUGACAAAGGUAUUCUGGCUGAUGUUGAGCUUCUUCGGCAAAUAACAGAGGCAUCGCGCGGUGCGAUAUUCACCUUUGUGGAUCGGACAACGAACAAGAGAGGGCAAGUUGUCGAUGUUGCUGAGAAGCUGACCUCGAUGCUUGGGUUCGGCCUCAGUGAGCCAUGGGUGCAGUACCUGUCCAAGACCAAGUUUCUCAGAGCAGACAGGGAGAAGCUCAGGACCUUGUUUGAGUUCUUGGGAGAGUGUUUGAAGCUGGUUGUGGCGGACAAUGAGCUUGCGAGUCUGAAACUGGCCCUCAAGGGCAGCUAUGUGGAGCCCGGCCCUGGCGGGGAUCCAAUCCGAAACCCGAAGGUGCUUCCCACUGGGAAGAACAUCCAUGCACUGGACCCUCAGGCAAUUCCAACUGCAGCUGCAAUGCAGAGUGCCAAAGUGGUGGUCGAUCGGCUGAUAGAACGGCAGAAGGCAGACAAUGGAGGGAAAUACCCUGAGACAGUCGCUCUUGUGCUCUGGGGUACCGAUAACAUCAAGACUUAUGGGGAGUCUCUGGCCCAAGUGCUGUGGAUGAUCGGUGUCAGGCCCAUUGCUGAUACCUUUGGCCGUGUGAACCGUGUGGAGCCUGUCAGCCUUGAAGAGCUCGGCCGGCCUAGGAUCGAUGUGGUUGUCAAUUGCUCUGGUGUUUUCAGGGAUCUCUUCAUCAACCAGGUAUGUUGAUUUUCAAACUGUCUAUAGAUCAUAUAAUGAUAUGCAAUCUCUUUCUAGUCAGCACCGAACCGAACUAUAUAUGUUUGAUACGGUGAUGCAGAUGAAUCUGCUUGACCGGGCAGUGAAGAUGGUUGCAGAACUGGACGAACCUGUGGAGCAAAACUAUGUCCGGAAGCACACCUUGCAGCAGGCGCAGGAGUUGGGCAUGUCGGUGCGUGAGGCAGCGACACGCGUCUUCUCGAAUGCAUCAGGCUCCUAUUCUUCCAACGUCAACCUGGCGGUGGAGAACUCGUCAUGGAACGAUGAGAAGCAACUGCAGGACAUGUACCUCAGCCGCAAGUCGUUCGCGUUUGACAGCGAUGCUCCUGGGGCGGGCAUGAUGGAGAAGCGCAAGGUGUUUGAGAUGGCGCUAGCGACGGCCGAUGCCACGUUCCAGAACCUGGACUCUUCGGAGAUCUCGCUGACUGAUGUGAGCCACUACUUUGACUCGGACCCGACGAACCUGGUGCAGUCACUGCGCAAAGAUGGCCGGAAGCCAAGCGCGUACAUUGCCGACACGACGACGGCAAAUGCACAGGUGCGGACGCUGGCUGAGACGGUGCGGCUGGACGCGAGGACGAAGCUUCUGAACCCGAAGUGGUACGAAGGGAUGAUGUCGAGCGGUUAUGAGGGAGUGCGGGAGAUCGAGAAGCGACUAACAAACACUGUGGGGUGGAGCGCGACGUCAGGGCAGGUGGACAACUGGGUGUAUGAGGAGGCCAACACGACGUUCAUCGAGGACGAGCAGAUGCGGAAGCGGCUUAUGCAGACCAACCCCAACUCCUUCCGGAAGCUUGUGCAGACAUUUCUUGAAGCUAGCGGCAGGGGCUACUGGGAGACAUCUGAGGAGAACCUUGAGAGGCUUAGGCAGCUCUACUCUGAAGUCGAGGACAAGAUCGAAGGGAUCGAGCGGUAGUUACCAAUCAGUCCGGUGUUGUUCAUCUGGUUCUUCUAUUUGUAAAACUUCAAAUUUAUAAAAUUUAAUGUGUAUGGUAUUUAUAAAUAUGUAACAUUUAAAGAAUUUCAUGAGAUUGUGAUUUAUGAAUGAGACUGAAGCUGUAAUCAUUCUAUGAAAUCGAGAGGAAAGGGCUCACCAAAAGAGUUUGAUGUGAAGAUGCUCAGGCUACAAUGCUAGUUUUAAAGCCGCGGCGAAUCUAGCAGCACUAUAGUGAGCCUAAUGAUGUGGCCUAAACUAUUUAAUCUUCUGAAGUAGAUAAGUCAAAGGCGUGUUCACAAAGUCCAUCUCAUCAUAUUCCACAUCAAACAAAGGGCACAGAAAUCGCCAUACUGUCGCUAAUUCAAUAAGUUCUUUUAUAUCCUGCCAGGAUGUUGAAUCUAAUAAUUUGAUGGUCUUGAGACAGCAAUGAUCUAAAUAACAAGAAGUAUAUUCGCAAAGAUGAUCUCAUAAUAGUCUCCAUGAGGAUAAGAUUCUCUCCAGGGGCACAAAGAUACCACACUACUGUUGUUCUUAUUGUCGACAUUUUAAUUCUUCAUCAAAUUGAACAAUCAUUCAUGUUUUCCAUACAUAAUACAUUUAAUAUCCAAACGAAUAACAUAUUCAUGAAUGAAAAUUCAAACUUACCCACAGCAAGUAUAACAACAAUCCUCUUAAAUGUCAGUGUAAGAUCUCUAGUUGGAUAAAGAGUCUACUCUGAUUGAGUUUGAAAGUUCCCUAGUUGUAUCAAGCAACAAAAUGAUUCUGUUCUACCGUUUCUGUCACUUGGAUAACAGAUAACUAGUAGUGUUUUUUUCUUUCACCCUAUAAGCAAAUGAAGGUAUAUAACGGCCAUAAGAUCUGAUUCUAAUGCACAGCAGUUCCUAACUUUUUGACUAUUUAUCGCGGGAGCUCUUUGAUUUAAGUUAGGGAUAGUGAAAUCAAAACUAACGAAAGAUUACUUAGCAAAAUCAAAACUAUCAAAAUUCAGUUAUCCCUUCUGAGUAUCGGUAUUCUUUUAUUUGCUAAUUUUUGCUUUGCAGUCUUUUCUUUAUCAUAUUUUCAUCUGCAGAGCAUAUGGUUAACAUAGCUUACAUUACAGCAAGUAAAAUAAAAUUAGAAAAUUUGAAACCUUCUGCUCUUAUAACAUCUAAAACAACCAACUACUCUAAAAUGUUAAAGUACGAGAGCAUGUAUUAAUAUUUUAUAUUCAAUACUUGUUAGAUAUAACUAUCAAUUACUACUAAUUGGUGCAUUGUGUGGAUUAAGGACUAAUAUAAAAGUGCAAUUUAAUGAAUACCUCAAUACAUUACUAAUUUUAUAAGGUUGGACUUUUCAGAUGUUUAGCUGGCUAAGUCAAAUUUUAAAUAGAAAGUACAAGUUAAUGAAUUACCUCAAUACAAUACUUCUUUCUUUCUUCUUCAAGAUCGCCAUGAAAGAAAAGCUAUCUAGACAUCCAUAUGGUGAAUCAAAAGCUUAUGAAUGGAUGUUAAUGCUAGGACUCGGAUAGUAGCUAUGAGAGCAAUAGGCGCAUAUGUGUCGAAGUAGUCAACAUCAGCUUUUUGUUGAAAAUCUUGAGCAACAAGUUGCGCCUCAUACUUUUCUACUGAUCUGUCAGCCCUAAGUUUCUUUUUAUAGAUCCACUAACAUCCUAAGGGUUGGUUUCCAUAAGGCAAAUCAGUGAGGAUCCAAGUGUUAUUGCUAAUAAUCGACUUGAUUUCACUGUUUAUAACAUCUUUCCAAAAAGAAGCUUAAGGAGAACUUAUAGCUUUCAUAUAUAAUAAAGGUGUACUUUCAACUAAGAAAGUAAAAAAACCUUUACCAAAGUCCUUCUCGAAAUAAGUUCUCUUGCUUCUCCUUAAUUCAGUUGGUGGGCUAGGUUCAAUAGGAUCUAUACUAUGAGGUAUAUCAGAUGCAGGUAUAUGAUCAGAAGAAGAAACAUGUUCAAAAGUAGGUUAAUAAUCAGGGGUUGAUCUAGAGAUGCGAUUUUUGAAAGGAAAGAUGUUUUCAUAGAAGGUUGUUCUUUAGAUUCAAUCAAAGUAUUGUUGAAAAUUUCAAAAAUCUCAGAGUUGGUCACUAGAAAUCUAUAUAUAUUGCUACCUAAGGAAUAUCCAAUGAAAAUGGCAUCUAUAAUUUUAGGUCCAAUCUUCUUUCUUGUGGGUUCAGGAAUAGGUACCUUAGCUAAGCACUCUCACAUUCAGAAAUAACUUAACCUAGACGCUCUUUCCUUCCAAUGUUAAUAAGGAGUUUGGGUUCUAUCCUUAAAGGAAAUCCUAUUAAGGAUAUAACAAGCUGAUAAAAGAGCCUCCCCCCCACAAGUUCUGAGGUACACCAGAACUUAAAAUCAUGGCAUUGACCAUAUUCGAUUCUUUCUUCCAUCUACACCAUUUGACUGUGGUGAGUAUGGAGCAGUAACUUCAUGAAUUAUUCUAUGUUCCUCACAAAACAGAUUUAAUUCAUUUAAAGUAUACUCGCCUCCUCUAUCUAACAUUAUAAUUUUAAUUCUCUUCUCUAAUUGAUUUUCAGCCUCUGCUUUAAAGACUUCAAAUUUAUUGAGGAUUUCAUCAUUGGUCUUCAAGAGAUAGGUGUAACAGUAUUUAAAGUAGUCAUCUAUAAAUGUCACAAAGUAAUGAAAAUUCCUCCAUGGGUAAGUCCUUUAUUAGAAUCUCAGACAUCACUAUAAAUCAGUUCAAGAAUCUUGGUAUCCCUAUAAGGAAGAGAUUUAAAAGGUUUCCCAGACUACUUAGCUUGAGUACAAAUCUCAUAUUUGGAUUUGAGAUCAAUCUUGAGUUUGGAUACAAAGUUAAGAUUGAUCAAUUUUAGUAUAAAUUUAAGGUUCGCAUGCCCUAAUCUACCAAGCCAUACAUCACAAGAUUCAAUAUUUAAAAUAUUAGUAGAAGUAGGAGCAAAAGAAGAAUUUUUAUUAUCAACAAAAGGAAUACAUUCAAUUUGAAUAAAUUUUCAGAUAUAGAACCUUUUCUAAUAAACAUUUUUACCUUAGAAAUUACAACUUUAUUGGAUUCUAAUGCAAUCUUAUAUCCUAAUUGAACUAAUAAAGAUCCACUAAUCAGGUUCCAUCGGAUCUCGAGAGAAUGCUGCACAUUAUGAAGGAUCAAACUCUUUCCAGAAGUUAACUUCAGCUUGAUUGAUCCGAUCCUCAACAUAUUGACAGCUUUUCCAUCUCCAACGGUCACACAUCCUCUACUUGUGCCCUGAUAAGACGAGAAUAAGAACCAAUUAGUACAAACAUAGACAUUAGUUCCUGAGUGUAACUACCAGUUUAAAUCAUGAUAGGUAAUGUUAACAUUGGGUACAAAAGAGACUGACCUAAAAGUAGAGGAAGAAAAUUCGCCCUCAAUCAUGUUGACCUGAGGCUUAGGAUAGUUAUUGCUAUUGUUUUGGCCCUGCUUGUAGACAGCCUUAUCUUUCUUUCAAUAAAAGCAUUUUAAAGCAAAAUGGUUGUCCUGGCCACAUACAUAACAGAAACUACCCUUUUUUUUGUUCGAUCCCACUAGAUUGGUUGGUAUUGGGUUUCUCGUAAUGGUUUCGGUUUCGGUUCGGGUUCCUACCCUUAAAGCCUUUACCCUUAAAUUUGAAAUUUUUAUGGAUUUAGGCUCAUGGCUCUAGUUCUGAAUCUCGGUUAGGUUUAUAUUUGAUCGAUUGUUGGAUAGUUUAAUCUCCUUAAGUCGGUAUUAGUCUUCUAUUCUAUAGCUUGGAUUACCGACCUAAGUUUAAGUUCUCUGGGUUCGUCUAAGCUCUUGGGCAAAUUUGGUUUAGGAAAGGAGUAAUUUGUCUAGUAGACAAGUAGCCAGAUAGGUUUCAUCUAAGGUUGAACCAUUCUUAUGAAUCUUUUGGACAAACUUCUGAAAUUGGUGGAUUUGAUCAUUUAUAAAAAUGUUGUCUACCAUUCUAAAAUUGUUAAAUUUAGUAAUGGUAAACCUAGCAAUGCCUUUAUUAUCACUAAUGUAGGUAUCUUCUAGGGCAUACCAUAAAUAUUUGGCAGUUUAAUAUUUUCUAUAAGUUUCACAAAGUUUGUUAGAUAGACAACUAAGUAUUCUAAACCUAUAGUGAAAUUCAAUUUCCUUGGGGGAUUUAUUAGAUUUAGGUUCUAUAGCUGAGGUAGUAGCAAAUUUAAAAGAAUUAGAUAGAGGAGUUAGCGGAGGAGGACCAAAAAAAAUUUUAGAAGUAGGAAAAGGAUGUGUUUUUUCAAUUACAGUUAUGAGGCCUAAGGUAAUAAGCCAAGCCUCUAACUGUUUUCGCCACCUCAAAAAGCCUACCCUUUUAAAUUUUUUUGGCUUAAGGCAAGAAGAAUCAUCAAAUGCCAUUCUAAAUAACCAAGUUGAGGGAAUAAAGAAACUAAGGAUAAUUAGAAUGAGCUACAAAAAAGGUUCAAAAAAUCUUUUAAGAAAAACAAUCAUAUUACCGACCGUCCCUAGAGCAAGUGGCAAAGGGCUUGGUGGUUGGUACCCGAGACCAAAGUUCGAAUCCUAGUUGAUUCACAUUUCUAGCUAAGUUUAUUUCUAAAUGAAAUAAACGAAGCGGGUAGCGUGCUACCUAUCUCUCUCUCAAAAAAAAAAAGAAAAAAGAAGAAAAACAAUCAUAUUUGUUAAGAUUUCUUGUAGUGUACUAAGUUCCGGUAAACUAUACUGAAGUUUGGCCAAAUUGCGCAAAGAACAGUUGAGAGAUGAUUUAGACAUGCUUGGAAACAAAUUUCGAGAGUUUUGGAACGAUUAGAAUUGAACUAGAGCUCUAAAGAGCGAAAAUAAAAAUUUUGAAAAAUGUGUUUUUGGACUUCUGGACUCUCGGGUCCGGAUCUUGACUUGAGGAUCCGGAUCUUGAUAUAGGCCAGAGUAUCAAAGUCUGAACCAUGACAAGAGGGUCCGGACCUUGCCUACGCAAAAUAGAAAACUAGUUAUGGGGUACAAACCUUGGCUCCAGGAUUUGGACUCUUCGCUUGCAGACAACCCAGAUCGGGGACAUUUCUGUAAUUUUGGUAAAAAGGGGGCUCAACCCCACACCUCCGUCCUCUCUCUCACUUUCUUCUUUUCUUUCUUGAAAUCUCCUCAAAACUUGGAGAUUUGGAGAGAUUGAUCUUAGAAAGGACUUGGAUGUCUGGAGCAAGCUUCUUGGAGUAAGAAGAUGCUUGGAAAAUUUGAGAUUGAGAUGAGUUCUUGGUGUUUUGAGUUAGGGUUUUGGGUUUGAUUCUUUGUUUAGAGAUUUUAGCAAUCUCUAACUAAAUCUAGACCGCACCAAAUGGUAGAGAUUUGCCAUGAGAUUUGGAGCUUUGCCAUUGUUUUGAAAAACCUUGGUUUAAAAUAGGGCUUUUGUUUUGAAUGAGUCAAAAAAUUAUUUGACUCUUUAAAACCCUAAUUAGAUGGUAGGAAAUCAUGUGGGAUAAUUUGAUUUCUUGAAAUAAAACUAUUUGAGAGUUCAAAAAUGGUAACGAACCAUUUUUCUUGUAUUAGGGUAAGGAAGCUUGGCAUAAGCUUGUAGCCCAGGGAAUUGGCCUAAUUGCAAGUACCUACAAGCAAUUAGGAGCAUUUUGAGGUGGGUUGUGCUUGACUAUAGGUUGUGCUUGACUAAAGAGAUUAGAUCACUUCCAUGUCUAAGUGAAAAAUAACUAUAUUAAGUUAUUUGUGGAAUGGAUACAUGAAUAUUGACAUAAGUAGUGGAAUGCAAACGUUAUGCACGUGGUUGCAUGUAGUGCACAUGAAUCAAGGGCAUCAUAUCUCAUGGAUUAAUGGAUGCAUGUAUGGUAUUCUUGCAUAUUAUGUUAUGACUCGUGAAUGAAUGCUUACAUGAUUAGUGGAAUGCAUAUGUUAUGGAUUAAAUGGUAGGUUGUGUGCACCGAAGUGACUUGGUCAUCUCACAUGUCUAGAGAGUAAUAGUGAAAACAAGUUAAUUUUUAUUGCAUGGUAAUUUGAAUGUUAGAUAUGCAUGUUAGAGGCACAUGCUACUUGGAUGAUUUUAGUUUACUACCUAUGUAUGAGUAAAUGUGCAUACAUCUAAUGUAUUAAAUUUAGAGUUACUAAUUUGCAUAAGAUAAAUGGAUGCAUGCAUCGUUAUUUUGUAUACCUAUGUUGUAGACUGAAUGAUAGGGUGACUUUCUUGAGGGUCAUUAGAUAACUCAAUACUUAAAUGUAGAAAACAUAGUGUCAUUGGAAUAUAAGUUGGAAACAUAGUGGGUAGAAUACCACUUGGACAUGAUGGCUUGAACCUAAAAAGGUUGACAAUAUAGAGUAAAGACAAUGGACCUUUGUGACCAUAGAAGAAGGAAUUUCGAAACUCCUAGCAACCUAUGGCCGGGAGUGCACAAAUUGCCACAUAAUGCCAAAGGAGUGACUCAAUACCUAUGAGCUUAUGGUCAGGGGUGUGUAGAAAUCCACCUAAUGCCAAGGUGAGAGGUGAGAUGAGUGAACUCGCUUAAAUUUGUAAUAGAAAUAGUUUACUUUAUAUCUUGUGAUACUCUCCUUAUACAACGUAUGUAUUCAUUUCUUGCUUGGAAUAUAUGGUGUAUACAUGCUUGUGACACCUUGGACGGAUAGGAAAAACUCUGUCCAUUCGGCGGGUCUAGUGCACGAGCCCUCUGUGUGGUUUUGUUGUGGUCUUGGGGCGUGACAUUUCUACCCUAGUCAGCCAAAAUAGUUUUGGAUUUAAUUUUUUAAAAUUAAUAUCUUAUCACUGCUCAUUUAGCAGCAAACGGAUGGCUCAAACAAUUUAAAAGUUUGAUUUCUAUUAGAUAUUUUUGAGUAAAUAAUAUAUGCAACUAAACAAUAUCUAUAUAGCAAACAGAGUAUAAACUGAAACAAUAAGAAAAGCAUAAAUUAAAAGUGGUGUUGUCGGUUACAAGAUGCUUGUUUGAAGUGCUGGAUUAUGUAAAGUCAUGUUCCCAGUCGAUAUGCAGAGAGUUUGUUUCUAAUUUGAUCUAAUCUUGUUCCAAAAGAUUAGGGAUAGUCCAGAAUCACUUUAAAGAGGAUUCUUAAGAGGAUAUCAACUGCUAGAUGUGAAUCAGACUCAGAUGGAAGGUGGAGAUUGUUUCCUACUAGAAUUGGGAUUUUAGAGUUAUAUAAACCCUUGCAAUUAAUCUUUUAGAUAUAAGCUUCAUUGUAGACACUCUAAUUGAGAGGAAAAUGUGGAGAGCUUCUGAGAGAGAGUUUCUUGUAAUCCAAUUUACUCCUUUAUACUUUUGUGCCGUGGAUUAAUCAAAGAAAGCAUUGAGGUGGUCUUGCCCGUGGAUGUAGGUCGACUCAUGAUUGGUCGAACCGCGUAAAUCUUGUGUUCUUGUGAUCUCUUAUUUUCUUUAUUGCUUUGUUAUCCUUAUGCUUAUUUUUCCUACGAUCAUUUUCAUCUCUUACGUCUACGAAAAAUCCUGUUUUCGGUGUGCUCGUGUGCUGUGCAGGUUUGAGGUGUGUUCGGUAACUCCACGGCCGGUCCCUUCAUGAAGGGUGUGUCGUUAGCAACUGUGUGUUCCAAUCCUACCUAAAGAAAAUUUUUUUAACUGUAAUAAAAUAGUAAAAAUUUACUGUAGCAAUUUUUCUUGUAGAAAAACGGUAAUUUUAUGAGCUACAGUAAAAUCAAUUUUUUUGGAGGAAAGUUUCAAAUACCACCCCUGUGGUUUCACACUUUCUCACUUUAGUAUCCUGUGGUUUAAAGUGUAUCAAUUUAGUGCCCUGUCACUACAGGAAAAAUCGCUGGUAGAGGCGGUUGUCAAGAGGCGGUUGUUAUAACCGCUUCUAUGUUUUACAUUAGAGACAUAUUAGAGGCGGUUUAACACAACCGCCUCUAUAUCUUGAAAAAAAAAAAAACUAAAAUUUUCAUUUUUUUUCAUUUUAUUAUUGAUUCUACUAAUUUUUUUCGUUAAAUCAGUGACAAAGUUAAAACUAAAGUGUACUAAAAUGAAUAUUCGAUCGAUAAAUUUAGCUAGGGUAUCUGAAGUUUUUUGUAUAUAAUUUAACAAAAUAUUAACGAAAAAGCUGAAGAAAAGAUAAAAAUGAAACCAUAGGACACUAAUUUGAUACACUUUAAACCACGAGGUACUAAAGUGAGAAUGUGUGAAACCAUAGGGGUGGUAUUUGAAGUUUACCCUUUUAUUUAAUUGCAAGAAAAGAGUAAUGUUUAACAAUAAUGUUUAAAGAAAUCAAAGCCCUUUUUUUUACUCACCAAAAUAAAAUAGUAAAUUUCAACAACUAGAAUAGACAAUAAAUUAGAUAAUAAUAUACAACUACACGUUCAAGUGCUAAUCCCGAAAAAUUUAUAUUUGAAUGCCAAUCAUACAAACAAGUUAACAAACAAAUUAUAUGCAUGACAAAAUUAAUUUAAUAUAGAUUAGCACUUGUUAAAUUGUGAAUCAAAACCAGAUAGGAUUACGCCUUAAAUUGUUAGAAAAAUCGUAUUGAAAAUUCGAUUGUGAUUAAUUAUCUAACUAAUUUUGUGAUAAAAUUAAUAAAUGAACUUACAAGCGAGCACUAAGUUCCCAAAAAAAUUGCCAAAGAAGGAAGCCGGAAAUAAUUGAGUCGGAAGCGUGUGUUGCACUGCCCUAAGAUGUAUUCUUGUCCUUUGUGCGGGAUCAACUGGAAACACCGCCCCAAGAUAUGACUGAAAUUCCUUCUACGAGCACGGACGUAGAAGAAGUUGACGCAGUAGCUUCCAACACCCAGCAACAAAGAGAUCGAAAUAAAAUGAAAAUUGAAGAUGAAAUAGAUCUUAAGCAAACUUUCUUUUCAAUAUAAUAAUUUUUCUCUCUACAAUGUUCAUUACCUAUGAACAGUAAAAAUCGAGUAUAAAUAGAGGUGAGAACUGUCACGCCCCGGGACCGAUACCAAUUUGGGUCGGCCGACCACGUCAAACAGACGCCGAACGGACAGAGUUUCCCUUGUUCGCCCAAGGCUCAUCACCUGUACAUUUUCAAGUAGAGAAAAGUACUAGUGGAAACAUACACAAAUGGCUUACACGAGGGUAAGCAAUAACCAUGAGUGAAAGAAAAGAAACUAAACAUCUACACAAGUACUAUGAUUCUUUUUUGAUCACAUACAUUGCAUUCAUAGUUCUUUACAUACUUUUCAUCAUUUCUUUUUACAUCACAUUCUCCUCAAGAUAAACAUUACAUUCUUUUUCUUUUACAUCUCAAUUCAUCAAAUACAAAAGAUGAAGUAAGGGAAUGCUACUACAAAAUGUAAACCCAACUCUGGUGGCUUCUGACUAAGGUGCGAUACCUUUACCGCGGUCGCUCGCCGGCUCGCUCGGUCCCGGCUCUGUGGAAUAGUGGGGUAAGAACUACAACAAAGUUCCCAGUGGGUUCGGCCCCAAUCUCACCGACUUUCCCGCUAGGACUAACUCAGGCAUAAUAGAAAGAAAAAGCAAAAUAGUAACCAAACUAUAAUCAUGAUGCUAAUAUGCCUGAACAAUAAGGCAAGAAAUAUGCUCAACGUAAAUCAUGCAAGUAUGCAAGUUCUUUGUUCUUUAAACUUUGUUCUUUGUUCUUUAAUCUCACGGCUAACCCGAGGGUUUCGCCACAUUAACUUGCCUACAUUAAGUCCAUUAUCGCGGGCCCUCAGCUUCCUCCCGCUAAGACCGUCCUCGGGUUUACUCCAACCCGUAAUGCAAAACUCUGGAGCGCAUCGCUCGAGGGGGAGCGACCGCCCUCGAGCACGGAACUCAUAGCAAGUAUGAUCGAUCCUUAACUCUAAGGAUAUAUGGUUCAAUCAUUGUCUUUACACUAACUCUAGUAUUCUUUACAUCAUUUUAUUUUGCUAACUCUAGCAAUCAUUGUUCUUUAACUUCACUCAUUCUUUAUGCCACUUUCUUUUUCUUUACUUGUCUCUAAUCAUUAUCAUUGUUCUUUGCGUCACAUUUCUCUUUGAUGCCACACACACUAACUCUAGUGUCAAUUUACUUUACAUUAUCGAAUGCCACUCGAUUUAUGUUUUAUUGUGUCACUUUGUUCUUUCAUCUCAUUGGGUGCUCACAUUAUAUCUCAUGCAUACAUAUAGGGUUGAAUAGGUUCUCAAACAUUUCAAAUAGCACGUGUACUCACAUCAUGCAACACUCACAUUUAUAACAUCACAUCUACCCUAUAAUGCAUGCAACAAUAUAAACAUAUGCUCAAUUGAAUGACACAUUAGGCAUAGAGGAAAUUCCAACAAGUUUGGAUAGCACCACCCACCUCGUAGGCGUACUAGGAUGCUACAAUGAUUUUCUUGUAAUUUUUAGACUCCUAGUUCAUCACCUGCGGCAAAAUGAAGCCAUAUUAGGCCAUUUUGCUCAUAUCUUUACAUAGGCUUUUCGUAACGUCAAUCCAAGCGCACCAACGCGUCGGAAAUACCCCCAAUUAGGUUUCUAGAGGGUCAAUUUCACUUUGAAGUCCUUCCGAGCAAAAGCCCCAAUUUGGGUGCCCUAGCUCCAACACAUACACAAAAUCUAGGAUUUGAUCUCAUUAGGAAACAAAAGAGAGUUUAAUCUACUCAAGAGAUCCCAUUAAAAUCCUUUUUAGCUCAAUCAAAAUCCUAGUUUGGAUUCUACCAUGAGAGAGGUUGAAGCUCACCUCACAAUUUCACUACAUAUACCCAAUCCAUGGCUGUGAUCUCAACAAGAAGCAAAAGAUAGCUCCAAAUACUCAAAAGGUUCUUUUAAAACCAUUUCUAGGUCAUUUGGUUCUCAUUCUAGGAUUUUACCAUGAAUAGGGUUCAAGCUUACCUCAAAGCUCUCCUUUCUUUGUGUUAGAGGUGAAGGAGAGGGAGUUACUUCACUCCUUCUUCUUCUUCUCGACCUUCCUUCUCUUUUCUUCUUCUUCUUUUCCUUUCUUUCCUUUCUUUUCUUCUUCUCCUUCUUGUCUUCUAAAGAGAGAAAGAGAGGAGAGAGUGUGUGAGAGGGAGAGAAUGAGAGAUAGGGCCCUCAUAACCCCUCAACAUAACCCAUGGGUUGCAAAAAUGCAGAUAGGCCCCUCAACUUUCACUCUAUUCACACUACCCAGACUGGGCAUUUUCGGGCUGGGGGGACCGGUCUCUCCUUCAGGGACCGGUUCCCAUAGCCCCUCCCCGUGGUCAGCAGGGCUCCCGCGCGCAAUGCGACCGGUCUCUCGAGGACCGGUCUCUCUAGCAGGGACCGGUUCCCGUGAACCUGAUCUUUGGGACUUAGCCGAUUUUCCCCUUUUCUCAUCUUUCAUGCGUACGGGGACCGAUCUCUCCUUCAGGGACCGAUUUCCGAGAGCACAAAACCUGCAGAAUGCAGAUUUUUGAUUCUUUAGCUCUCGAAAACCUCCCACAAUGCACUUUUGAUCCUUUUAACACCUUCGGACUUUUCGAAGUGUACCAUCCUCGCACUUUGGUCAAUUUGACUAAAGUUCGUUAUUUAUUUUUCGAAUUCUCGGUAUAUUACAUUCUCCACCCCUUAAAAUAAUUUCGUUCGCGAAAUUACACAUACCUUAACUUGUCAACUCAAAUAAAUGCGGAUAGUCUCUCCGCAUGGUCUCCUCAAGCUCCCAAGUGGCUUCUCGUGCUGCAUGGUUGCUCCAUUGGACCUUCACAUAUGAAAUUUUGCGACUCCGCAACUUCCUUUCUUCUCUUUCGAGGAUGCACACCGGGUACUCCUCAUAAGACAUAUACUCACGUAACUCCACGGGCUCCUACUCCAAUACAUAUGUCGAGUUUCGAAUAUACUUUCAGAGAUUUGACACAUGGAAAAUAUUGUGAACUCCAGCGAGUCUCGGUGGUAGUGCGAGCUUGUACGCUAUCGCACCCACACGCUCCAAUAUCUCGAAUGGUCCGACAUAACGGGGGCUUAGCUUCCCGCGGACCCCAAAUCGCUUUACUCCACGCAUCGGCGACACUCUCAAAAAUACGCGGUCUCCAACUGCGAACUCUAAGUCCUUUCUUCGCUUGUCGACAUAACUCUUCUGCCUUGACUGCGCUGUUGCUAACCGUUGACGGGCAAGGCAGACUUUUUCCUCCGCCUCCCGCACUACAUCCGGGCCAAGAGCCGUUCUCUCGCCCACGUCGCUCCAAUGAAUAGGAGAACGACACUUUCGACCAUAUAGUGCCUCAAAUGGCGCCAUCGCUAUGCUAUCUUGAUAACUGUUAUUAUAUGCAAAUUCCGCCAUCGGCAGAAAAUCAUGCCAUCCUCCUUUAUAAUCUAGUACACACACUCAAAGUAAAUCCUCAAGGAUCUGUAUUGUCCGCUCUGACUGUCCAUCACUCUGAGGAUAAAACGCUGUGCUAAAGUCGAGCCGUGUGCCUAGCGCGUCUUGCAAGCUCUUCCAAAAGUGGGAUGUGAAUCUGGGGUCUCGAUCCGAUACAAUUGAUACCCGAACCCCAUGAAGUCUCACAACCUCGUUGAGAUAAACUUGAGCUAACUUGUCUCCCGACCACGUAGUAUGUAUCGGCAAGAAGUGUGCCGACUUUGUUAAUUGAUCCACUAUCGCCCAUAUCACGUCUUGUCCGUCUUGUGAUCGAGGCAAACCGGUAAUAAAGUCCAUCGCUAUAUCUUCCCAUUUCCAAACAGGUAUUGAUAGAUUUUGUAGCUUUCCCGCCGAAAAUCGGCGCUCUGCUUUCACCUGUUGGCACGUUAGACAUUGUGCCACGAACUCCCCAAUGUCUCUUUUCAUAUUCGGCCACCAAUAAUGCUCUUUCAAGCCCUUGUACAUUUUAGUACCGCCCGGGUGUAUACUAUAAGGAGAUUGGUGCGCUUCUUGCAUGAUCGCUCUUCGAAUAUCACUAUCUUUGGGCACGCACCAACGAUUUUGAAAUCGGAGUGCGCCAUCGGCUCCAAUGCCAAAAUCCUCGGCACUACCGUUCUCAACUUCACCUCGUAUCUUCUGAAGAUAAGGAUCCAAAGCUUGAAGUUCUUUGAUCCUUUCCAAUAGGGUCGGUUGCACAACUAAUACGGCAAGUGUAGCCAGCACUCCCGGCGCUACCACUUUCAACCUAAGCCUUUGCAUCUCCUUUUGCAAUAGCGGUUGAGGCGUAAUUGCCAUCGCUAAGUUCUCCGCCGAUUUUCUUAGAGCAUCGGCCAUGACAUUGGCUUUUCCCGGGUGGUAUAGUAUAGUGACAUCGUAGUCCUUCAAAACUCCAACAACCGCCGCUGCCGUAUGUUCAACUCCUUCUGGGUGAACAAGUAUUUUAGACUUUUAUGAUCUGUGUAGACUUUACAAUACUCACCAUAUAAGUAAUGCCUCCAAAGCUUUAGCGCGAAGAUCACCGCGGCUAACUCGAGGUCAUGAAUCGGUUAGUUCUUCUCAUAACUCUUUAAUUAGCACGAUGCAUAUGCAAUGACCCGCCAAUUUUGCAUUAAUACACACCCGAGACCAACAUACGAGGCAUCACUAUACGCUACAAAGGUCUCCCCCGGAGUCGGGAAGGCAAGCACCGGGGUCGACGUCAACCUGCUCUUUAACUCCUCAAAGCUCCGAUCACAAUCGUCACUCGAGACAUACUUUACUCUUUUAUGGGUAAGGCGCGUUAGCGAAGUGGUUAUUUUAGCGAACCCCUCCACAAACCGCCGGUAAUAGCCCGCAAGUCCGAGAAAACUGCGGACCUCCGCUACACUUGUCGGGCGAGGCCAAUCCUUGAUCGCCUCCACCUUCUUCGGGUCUACCGACACUCCGUCGCCCGAUACCACAUGAACUAAGAAUGUGACCUCCUUUAGCCAAAAAUCACACUUCUUCAACUUUGUAUAGAGCUUCUCUUGUCUGAGUAUUUGCAACACAGCUCUCAAGUGCUCUUCGUGCUCCUCCUCACUCUUUGAGUAAACCAAUACGUCGUCUAUAAAUACCACGACGCAUCGAUCCAACAACGGCCUAAAGACUCGGUUCAUCAAGUCCAUGAAUGCUGCUAGGGCAUUAGUAAGCCCAAACGGCAUUACCGUGAACUCAUAAUGGCCAUACCGUGUACGGUACGCCAUUUUGUGCACAUCCUUCGGCCUAAUCUUUAGUUGAUGAUACCCCGAUUGGAGAUCAAUCUUCGAAUACACUUUGGGCCCUUGCAACUGAUCGAAUAAAUCGUAAAUCCUCGGCAACGGGUACUUGUUCUUUAUCGUCACUUUGGUGAACUCGCGAUAAUCUAUGCAGAGUCGAAGUGUACCAUCCUUUUUCUUCACAAAUAGCACCGGAGCUUCCCACGGUGACACGCUCGGCCUCACGAAGCCUUUAUCGAGCAAGUCUUGUAAUUGGCCUUUCAACUCCUUUAGCUCCACCGAUGCCAUUCUAUACGGAGCCUUCGAAACUGGUUCCGCCCGGGGAAUCAAGUCAAUGACGAACUUGACCUCCCGGUCCGGUGGCAGUCCCGGUAACUCCGCCGGAAAUACAUCCGGGUACUCGCACACUAUCCGAAUAUCCCCCAACUCUGGGUACUCCUUUCGAGCAUCGACCAUGGUUGCCAAAUAGGCCUUACACCCUCAUUUGAUAUCUUCUUCGCCCUUACAGACGAUAUGGUCGCCGUAAAGCGCCUACUUUUGCACGCUUGGUAUACCAGUUCUUCUUGAUUAGGCUCACGAAAAGUGAUCACCUUGCUUUCACAAUCUAUAACCGCAUAGUACUUGGAGAGCCAGUUGGUCCCCAAGAUAACAUCGAAUCCCCACAUCUGAUCUAGCACUAGCAGAUUAAUCGGCAUAAUCCAAUCGCCUAUUUGCACUGGACACGCCAAACACUCAUUGUGGACACUGAAUGAAUGUUCUGGGGCGUUCACCCACCAGUAGUCCUCGUUAUAUGCCAUUUUUAUGCCAUGAGUUUGAGCAAAUGAUGGGUUAAUGAAUGAAUGAGAUGCGCCUGUAUCAAAUACUGCUCUAUCUCUAGUGCCUUUAAUCACAAUUAUACCUGCCACGACGUCGUCGGGUGCUGCAGGUUGCUGCUCCUCCACCUGAGCGGCAAAGACUGGGCCGCUAGGCGCUCUCGAUCCCUCCGGCUAACGCGGUGAUGACGUGCGCCCAGCCGACAUCGCUGGUGGUAACCCCGCAAGCUGUCUUGGGGUAGACGGUGCUGAUGCCGCCAUCGGCGCAGACGACGUCCAGCUCGGGCACUCCCGGAUAAGAUAUCCCGGUUGGUCACACUUGAAACACUUGCCAUUGCGCUGCGAGCAAGCCGACACUCGGUGCUCUCCGCCACAAAUGACGCACCGAGGUGGUCUCCAGUUCCUCGUCUGCUGUCGGGGAUACCGAGGGGGCUUCUUAGCAUUUGGCCGGCCCCCGGCACCACCCGUCGUCCGCUUCUUGCCUUUUUCCUUGCUCUCGGCCAUAGCCUCCCAUUCCUCUCAAACGUAAGCACUACCGUGCUCCGCCCACAAAGCUCUAUCGAAGACCUCCGCAAAGGUCGACAACUUCAAGAUCUGCACCUUCUCGUAAAUUCUCGACUGGAGUCCUCGCAAGAACCAAUCAGCCCUAUCCCGAUCAUCUCUAACAACAUCGGGAACGCAGUCGAUAAUGUAGGAGAAUUCCUGUUCGUACUCCCCCACUGAUCGAUCGCCCUGUCACAACUUGCAGAACUUUUCUUGCAACCUCCGCUUCACCGUGUCGGGGAAGUAGUUCGCGAAGACUGCUCUCUUGAACUCCUCCCAAAGCAUAAGCGGAAGAUCGGCAGGUCGAUCCCACUUGACUCGCUUCCACCAUACUAUCGCCGCCUUCUCAAGACAAUGGGUGGCGAGGUACACUUUGUCCUUCUCCGAGGUAUUUAGGUCUCCGAAGAGCGUUUCCAUCGAGUCGAUCCACGACUCCACGACCGCUGGCUCCACCAAACUACCUUCAAAGACAGGUGGGUUGAACUUCUUAAACUGUAUGAGAGCCGCCAACGUGCGCUCCCGCUCCGCUUCUACCGCCACACUAUCGAAAUUUGAGGUUCCCGAUCCGGCCGAUACUACCGUAAUUGGAACAGCUGCUGCUGCCGCCGCUCCCUCGUCCACGUUCGGCACUGCCACAGGGGGCGCGACAUGCUCGACACCCGCCUGGGACGCCGCCUGCUGAUGCUCCAAGGCCUCCUGGAGCCGUUGAAUCUGCUCCCCUUGGCGUUGAACAGACUCCGCUUGUUGCCGCACUACGCCGAUAAGUGCGGCCAUCUGCUCCCUAAGCUCUCCGUUGCCACUCGCUCCAGAUCGCUCGAGCGCCGCAUUCGACCCCUCAGGCAUCGACCUUGUCUGCGGUCGACCACGAGGUGACAUUGCUUCCUGAAAAGAAGCAACUCGCAUUAGCUACUUGACCAACAUUAGCUGACCAUACCCAAUCUGGCGAAAGCAACAUGCACAUUCAUCCUUGCCUGAAGCGUCAUGUCGUCGGCCGCCCGACACAACACUAGAAGUAGAGGACAAACAAAAAUUAAACUUAACCUCUAAUCACAUUAGAGACGUCCCAACGUAACCCAAUCACAUGCUUUCGCUAUCUUUAAUUCCACGUCACUCACGUUUCCUAAAUCCUUAAGGUCUUCCAAUCCUAAGGGUUUCUAGGUCCAUUCCUAUUCUUUCACUCUAGGCUCUGAUACCACAAUAUCUGUCACGCCCCGGGACCGAUACCAAUUUGGGCCGGCCCGAGCACGUCAAACAGACGCCGAACGAACAUAAUUUUUCCUGUCCGCCCAAGGCUCAUUACCUGUAUAUUUUCAAGUAGAGAAAAGCACUAGCGGAAACAUACACAAACGGCUUACACGAGGGUAAACAAUAGCCAUGAGUGAAAAAAAGAAAAAUAAACAUCUACACAAGUACUAUGAUUCUCUUUUGAUCACAUACAUUGCAUUCAUAGUUCUUUACAUACUUUUCAUCAUUUCUUUUUACAUCACAUUCUCCUCGAGAUAAACAUUACAUUAUUUUUCUUUUACAUCUCAGUUCAUCAAAUACAAAAGAUGAAGUAAGGGAAUGCUACUACAAAAUGUAAAUCCAACUCUGGUGGCCUCUGACUAAGGUGCGAUACCUUUACCGCGGUCGCUCGCCGGCUCGCUCGGCCCCGGCUUUGUGGAAUAGUGGGGUGAGAACUACAACAAAGUUUCCAGUUGGUUCGGCCCCAAUCUCACCGACUUUCCCACUAGCACUAACUCACGCAUAAUAGAAAGGAUAAGCAGAAUAGUAACCAAACUAUAAUCAUGAUGCUACUAUGCUUGAACAAUAAGGCAAGAAAUAUGCUCAACGUAUAUCAUGCAAGUAUGCAAGUUCUUUGUUCUUUACACUUUGUUCUUUAAGCUUUGUUUUUUGUUCUUUAAUCUCACGGCUAACCCGAGGGUUUCGCCACAUUAACUUGCCCACAUUAAGUCCAUCAUCGCGGGCCCUCAGCUUCCUCCCGCUAAGACCGUCCUCGGGUUUACUCCAACCCGUGAUGCAAAACUCCGGAGCCUAUCGCUCGAGGGCGAGCAACCGCCCUCGAGCACGAAACUCAUAGCAAGUAUGAUCGAUCCUUAACUCUAAGGAUAUAUGGUUCAACCAUUGUCUUUACACUAACUCUAGUGUUCUUUACAUCACUUUAUUUUGCUAACUCUAGCAAUCAUUGUUCUUUAACUUCACUCAUUCUUUAUGCCACUUUCUUUUUCUUUACUUGUCUCUAAUCAUUAUCAUUGUUCUUUGCGUCACAUUUCUCUUUGAUGCUACACACACUAACUCUAGUAUCACUUUACUUUACAUUAUCGAAUGCCACUCGAUCUAUGUUUUGUUGUGUCACUUUGUUCUUUCAUCUCAUUGGGUGCUCACAUUAUAUAUAUAGGAUUGAAUAGGUUCUCAAACAUUUCAAAUAGCACGUGUACUCACAUCAUGCAACACUCACAUUUAUAACAUCACAUCUACCCUAUAAUGCAUGCAACAAUAUAAAUAUAUGCUCAAUUGAAUGACACAUUAGGCAUAGAAGGAAUUCCAAUAAGUUUGGAUAGCACCACCUACCUCGUAGGCGUACUAGGAUGCUACAAUGAUUUUCUUGGAAUUUUUAGACUCCUAGUUCGUUACCUGCGGCAAAACGAAGCCCUAUUAAGCCAUUUUGCUUAUAUCUUUACAUAGGUUUUUCGUAACGUCAAUCCGAGCGCACCAACGCGUCGGAAAUAUUCCCAAUUAGGUUUCUAGAGGGUAAUUUCACUAUGAAAUCCUCCCGAGCAAAAACCCCAAUUUGGGUGCCCUAGCUCCAAUACAUACACAAAACCUAGGGUUUGAUCUCAUUAGGAAAUAAAAGAGAGUUUAAUCUACUCAAGAGAUUCCAUUAAAAUUCUUUUUAGCUCAAUCAAAAUCCUAGUUUGGAUUCUACCAUGAGAGAGGUUGAAGCUUACCUCACAAUUUCACUACAUAUAUCCAAUCCAUAGCUUUGAUCUCAACAAGAAGCAAAAGAUAGCUCCAAAUACUCAAAAGGUUCUAUUAAAACCAUUUCUAGAUUAUUUGGUUCUCAUUCUAGGAUUUUACCAUGAAUAGGGUUCAAGCUUACCUCAAAGUUCUCCUUUCUUUGUGCUAGAGGUGAAGGAGAGGGAGUUACUUCACUCCUUCUUCUUCUUCUCGACCUUCCUUCUCUUUUUCUUCUUCUUCUUUUCCUUUCUUUCCUUUCUUUUCUUCUUCUCCUUCUUGUCUUCUAGAGAGAGAAAGAGAGGAGAGAGUGUGUGAGAGGGAGAGAAUGAGAGAUAGGGCCCUCAUAACCCCUCAACAUAACCCAUGGGUUGCAAAAAUGCAGAUAGGCCCCUCAACUUUCACUGCAUUCACACUGCCCAGACUGGGCAUUUUCGGGCUGGGGGGACCGGUCUCUCCUUUAGGGACCGGUUCCCGUAGCCCCUCCCCGUGGUCAGCAGGGCUCCCGCGCACAAUGCGACUAGUCUCUCUUUGGGGAACCGGUCUCUCUAGCAGGGACCGGUUCCCGAGAGCCUGAUCUCUAGGACUUAGCCGAUUUCCCUCUUUUCUCAUCUUUCACGCGUACGGGGACCGGUCUCUCCUUCAGGGACUGGUCCCCGAGAGCACAAAAUCUGUAGAAUGCAGAUUUUUGAUUUUUUAGCUCUCGAAAACCUCCCACAAUGCACUUUUGAUCCUUUUAACACCUUCGAACUUUCCGAAGUGUACCAUCCUCGCACUUUGAUCAAUUUGACUAAAGUUCGUUAUUUAUUUUCCGAAUUCUCGAUAUAUUACAAGAACAGAACGUUGCAUGGAAUCAACCCAACGUUCCACUCCAAGCCCUAGUUAGUAAAUUCGCAAAUUAUUCGCGAAUUAUUGAAAAUCCGAAUUAAAUGGUCCGUUUACGAAUUUUUUCAAAAAAAAGAGAAUUAUUCACGAAUUUUUGGGUCAGCCGAAUUAUUCGCGAAUAAUUUGCGAAUUAUUCGCGAAUUAUUACCAAAUUAUUGAAAAUAUGAAUAGAAAACUUAUAAUUUUAUUUUAAAAUAUAAAUUAUUUUAUAUUUUAUAUCUUAUAUUUUAUAUUUUAUACCGAAUCUGUUUUUUAAGCCGAAUUUUUUAAUGAAUUUAAAAAUUAGAAAACAAAUUUUGUACGUAUUAUAUCGGUACCGAAUUUUUGCCAAAUCCGAAUUAACUAACUAUGCUCCAAGCCAAUAAAUACCGUACAUUCCAUCAAAUUAAUUAAAAUAAAAUAAUAAUAAAUACUAAUAAAUGAGAACAAAAGAAUUAAUAAAUUAAAAAUAAAAAAUAAUAUUAAUAAUUGGGAAAUUUUAGAUUUUUCACCAACAAUAACUAUCUUGAGAAUCCUAUUAUUAUGUAUGUUUCAACUAUUAGUUAUAUUCAAUUUAUCAAUUUUUACCUGAUCUCUUAAAGACUUACAAGGUAAAGUUUUAGCCUGCGCAUUGCCUCAUUGUCCCAUGGUGGUCACACCUUCAUCCUAGUGAUGUACCUUCCCCACAACAUCACAUUCGGUGCUCCAACAUGUUGAUGAAAAUUCAAAAUCCUACAUCUUAUUUCAAUUAUUAAUUACUCCUUUUUUAUUUUUAAUUUUCUACAUUUUAAUUAUAAUUUUAUUUAUUAUAUUUUUUUAAUCCUUUAGCCCGCUACAUGGGCGGACGUUACGCGCGUCCGCGCUCUGUGCGCACCUUAUUCUCGGCGGACGUUUUGUCAUUUGUUAGAAACUAAUUAAAGGAAAAGUGAACGUUGGAGUUAAUAGGAUAGUAGCAGGACUCUAUAUAUAUGUAUAUGUAUAUAUAUAUAUAUAUGUAUAUGUAUAUAUAUAUGUAUAUAUAUGUAUAUACGUCUAUUGUUGUCAGGACAUAUAGAUAUAUUUCAUUUGCAUGAAGAAUAGUGAAAAGAAAUAAUUUUAUUUUGAGAUUCCUUUUCAUAAGUUAAUUCUCUUCUGUUUAUCGCUGGGUGUUGAAAGAAGCUCCGUCAACCCCUUCCGCGUUCGUGUCUGUAGGAGGAGAAAUUUCGGUCGUGUCUUGGGGCGGUGUUUUCGGUUAAUCCCGUACGAAGGAAGGGAAUACGCCUUAGGGCAGUGCCUCGCACGCUUUCGGAGCUAAUUAAUUUUGCAUUUCCUUUUUUGGGAUUUAGCGAAUAUCUGUAAGUUGAUUUUAUUAAUUUCAUCACGAAAUUAGUUAGACUUUAUCACAAUCGGAUUAUUCGUUGCGGCACUUUCCCAACAAUCUACGGCGUAAUCCCCUAUCUGAUUGUGAUUAAAUCUGACGGUGCUAAUCCAUUAAAAUAUAUAUAUAGUGCAUAUAAUUCUGUUUGACAAUUUGCUUGUAUACUUGUCAUUCAAAUUUAAAUAAAUUGGGAUUAACAUUUUCAAAUUCUAAUUGCAUAUAGUUUAUUUGCAAAUUAUUACUUCUCAUAUUUGCUUUGGGGUGUUUUUAAAUUUUAAAAAAAAAGGGAUUUUACUGUUCUACUAUAGUUUUUUUUUUUUUAAAAAAAAUUGCUACAGUGAUUUUUUAAGACUAGUACGCAUAUUUUAAAAUAAAAAAUUUUGCUACAGUAAGUUUUUAAAAAAAGGUUGCUACAGUAUUUUCCUUUGCACAGUUCGGAUUUUUUAAAACUAAAUUUUGAGGAAAAAAAGGGGGUUUUGUUACAGUAAAAAAUAAAUUUUCAUGCGUACCGUUUUUUGAGUUUGCUAUAGUAAAACUUUUUUGAAAAAAAAAAGGAAAACAAAAAAAAAAAACCUAUUUCGAGUAGGAAUUGAACCCUUCCUUAACUGGUUAGCUCCACUUAUAAAUAGACCCAACACUCUCUCCUCAUGCGCACCAACUGAGAAUACCCCCCGUUUUCCUCUCUUCUCAUCUCCCUCUCCUUCUCUCUCUAGAAUCUCCCAACAAAGGUGGAUUUGGUAGGGAUUGAAGGUGGAUUUGGAGCUUUUGAAAGAAAGGAGCUCUAGUGCAAGGUGGAACUUGAGGUCUAGAGGUGACCAAGGUAAGGGUUUGCAAGUUCUAAUCUAGGGUUUGUUUUGGUUGACCUAGAAUCCAUGUUUUUAGAGUUCUUGAGGUUUAGAAAUCUAGAGUGAUCCAUAGUUUCUCAUGGUGAAAGAUGCUUGACCAUGACAUGUGGAACCCUAGGGUUGAGAUUAGGGUUUUUGUAGAUAUGGGGUUUAUAGUAAAAUUGAUUCCUUAAUUCCUUAGUUGAAGAAUAAAUCGACCCAUAGGGAGGCUCAAGACGAAGUUCCUAUGAGCCUAUGGCACAUCGUUGAGGAAAAACACCGUUUUCCAUUCGUUACUUGACAUUAGUUGAUACGGAUGGAUAGAUCCCCGAGUAUUGUUGUCCCUAGUUGGUAGGGUAUCCUCGGGUUUAGAGGAUUGGAUUGUACUCACAUUGUCUGUUUAGCGUGGCGGUGGUCGCUCCAACCAAACAGUGGGCUCCGGAGUUGUCACAUAAUGGGUUAACGUAUCUACCGAACAGACGGUCCCGGGUGAGCGCAGCUGGGUGUCUCCUCACAUGUGGGAUUGGUUGUGAGUUGGGUUUAACCUUCGGGUUAGCUGGUGUGAUUGGGUUACAAGCAUAUGAAUGACAUGCAUCAUGAGCAUCAUGGUUACUUUAUUCAUAUCCUGUUGUUGAGGCAUAGUAGUAUAUUAGUAUUUCUUAUUUUUGUAUAUCUCUCUACUUAUGUCUGUUUAGACCUAAUAGAAAAAUCGGCAGGGUCAGCGGCCGAACCCACUGGAAACUUCUUUUAGUUCUCACCCCAUUGUUGUACAGAUCCCAGAGCGGCCGAGGGUCGUGGCAAGGGCAUAGCGCCCUAGAUAGCGGACAUCCCAUGCAUUAGCAUACCUUGUACUUGUAUCAUGUAAGAGAGAUGUCACAUUUUGGAGAGACAAUGUAGUGAGGAUAUAAUGUAUGAACUAAAGAAUUGUAUUUUGGUGAAUUGUAAAAGAAUGGUUAAACAAGUGAAUGAAUGUAAUAGUUUAGUUAAAUUUCUCUCUUGCUCUUGUUAUUUUUCUCGCGCAAAUCAUGUAUAUUAUUUGUUUUUAUUUGGGCAAAACUAGAUGUACAUGAUGUUGUUGAAACUUUGGCGGUACAUGGGAGACUUUGUCCGUUCGGCAUUCUGUGCACGAGUCUGAACCGACUAAAUUGGCGGUUGCGGGGCAUGACAAUAAAUAUUAUCUAAUAAAUUCUAGCAUUUUCUCGAAUAUUGUCCCCAAACCUAAUGGUACUCCUCCGAAUCAAAUAGCAGUCCAAAGAAUUAGUGAAUCAUCACCACGGGCUCAACGAGCAAUUGGUAGGGUUUUAACGAAAGAUUCACUAAUUAGUGGUAACAUACCAAAUCCCAAACACUAGUAAGUUAAAUCUCUCUCUCUCUCUCUCUCUCUCACACAUGCACACACUAGGUGAGUAAUCAUGCAUAAUCCAACCCUACUCUAUAUGUGAAGUGUCCAAUGACGAUACAGUCCAACAUAGUAAUCAUAAAUCUUAUGAAGAGAAAAAUAAUAAUAAACCGGACAUGUAGAGUAACUAAGCAUGUAAGAGAGUAAGUGAUAAUAAUUUGAUUAGAGCUACUCUACCAAUCAUGUAUUAUCUAAUUAUAAGUUAUAACAAUAACAAAAGUUGAAUCAUAGAGCAAAUAACACGAACAAUAUAUAAGGAUACAUGCAUAAGCAUAUGUACUCAACAAAUAAGAUAUAUGAUCGAAGCAUAACAGAAAAUAACUAAGUAGAACAUAACUUUACUGACAUCCAGAUUGAAGCACCUAUCUUUGCUCGAAUAAACCUGAGUUCGUGACUCCACCAUAGCCUCUAGGUGUCACAGGAACCUAGGCAUAAUGAUCGAGUGUCAUUUUCAGCCUCUGUGUCCAUAACACUAAUUAACUAAUAAACCUAAACCUCAAUGAAGUGUAUUACGACAUACUCGGAAUAUCAGUUUCGCAAUAUGACUUUCGGAACUAAACCAACGAACGGGCCAACUCUACAAGAGUCGAAAUGGCCCUCGAACAUCAAGCUAACAACAACCAAUGCAACUUAAUCACCAACAACACUAGCAAGUGUGAUCGGAACAUCGCAUUCUUUAACCGAUUUUCAAACAUCUCCAAAUUUGUUCCCUAACCUAUCGAGACCUCCAAUCAGACCAUGAAGCGUUGCGAGCUAUGUUAUAGGUCUGCUUAGACCACUUGCUGUCUCGAGACACACCAUGUGACGACUCAACAUAUCAUCUACUAUCCCAAAAGAUACCACUUUAGGUGUCGUGACAGUCGCAUCCCAUAAAGUGCAAUAAUGAGAUCCACUGCCUCGAACUUGGCUGUAUCGAGUUCCAAAAUACUGUUUUUGGCUUCGGAACAAACCUACAAUAUGCAUGCUGGCAACACAGGUUGGGGAGGGUGUGGCGUCUAUGGGUGAGGAGAGAAAGAGAGGAGAAAGGAAAAAGGAGAAAUAAUCUUAGUUUUCUCUUUUUUUUAUUAUAACAAUUGCAGAAUUUUCUACGCCAUCUUAAUUUGCUUUCCUAUAUACUGCUUCUUAGCCACCUUCGCAUAGAAGUCCUUCGUGUUGAAAAUUUUUUACUUUUCACACAUGAAAUGAGGACCUUUUCGAACACUGCCCUUUUUCUCCUAUGUUGUAAUAAAUGCUAUUUGGCCCUUCUAAAUCUCAAUUUCUUGCUCAAAACCACCUCACUUGUGCAUUUUGUACACAAUGCCUCCAACUACAAAGUCUCAUACAAGAAAGUAUAGAUUUAGUGGCAUAUAUAGAUGCUGCUAAAUGAGUAAGAAAUGUAACUAAAUUUUUUAGCAACACUUAACUUUUAGUGUUGCCUAUGCCCGUGUUGUUGAAUCUUUUAGCAACAUAUGGAGAGAGUGUUGCUAAUGCUGAAGAAUUAACAAUAAUUAACAAAUGUUGCUAAAUGAAAAUUUUAAAAAGGCAAUUAUUAAAUGGUGGUGCAUAUUGUUUAAUUAAUUCUUGUAUUAAUUUAGCUAUUAUUUUUUGAAUUAAAUAAAUUUUUUUUAUUAAUUAUAAAUUUUGAUGUUCAUUAAAUUAAAAUAUUAUUAAUUUUGAUUAAUUUUUUUAAUUAUAGUUAAUAAUAAUCAAAUAUUACUAAAC